rnacentral:lncRNA from 1 species
CAGAGCAUCCCCCAUCACUUGCCGGUUUAAUUUGCAGCCAACUAGAACUGUUUCAUCUUUCUUGAUGCCAAGACUAGAUGAUGGUUAUAUAUGUGUGCAUUGACGCAAAUCAUCAGGCAGAGGGAGUACUUAAUGUGCCAGUAUUAGCAAGUGUUAUCCUUUGUUGAGCCGGGGACACAAGCCGCUGUUGCCCGUGCUCAACCGUGUCAGCUCAGCCCGUCCUGUUGUUCUGCGUAAAGUAAAUUCCUGAUUCCAGAAAAUCUAAGAAAUAAUGAAAUAUAUAAUACACCUUCAUCUUGUAUCAACAAGAAUGAAGAUGUGAAUCAAAGGCAUGUAACUGUACCUUCCGCAUGUGUGACAUAUGCUGCCUGAAUCAGUGUACUUUCUGGAAAUCAAAGCAUUUAUCAGACUGGUUUCAGAUUGGAAUGAGUGUUCAAUGCGUCUUACAUCUCCUAUUUUAUUUGUUGUUAAUAUUAGUGAAAUAUUUCUAUAUCACUGUCACCUUUAAUAUUCAGCUAUUGUGUGCUUCAGUAUUAUUCACUGGUUGUCAGGUAUUAAUCAAAUCUCUGGAUUACAUUUCCAAAUAUUUAUGAGUAUAUAAAUGAAACACAGCCGUAUGUUCAUCUACUUUCAGAUAUAUGGAAACGUAGUACAAAUAUGAGCACCCUUGAAGGACUGAAUGAGUUUCACUCGAGGCUCCAGAGGGAAAAUUAGUAAGUUGCUGUCUUGUGUUAUUAAAAGUAAAUACCACAUCCAAACAAACAAACCCUAGGACGAGUCCUUACAGUAAAUAUACCAUUUUCGCUAGUGUUUUAAGCACCAUGUCAUUAUCUUUGUCCUCCUCCACAUUCUCCUGACAUGUUGCCUCCUCAUAUUUGCCGGCGUUGUUCCACACAAUAGAAUCAUCAGUUGCGUCAUCAUCUUCGUCAUUGCUUCACACAUCGCAAUCGUCAUUAGCUACCUCCUCAUCCUCGUCAUCACUCCACACAAUGGAAUCGUCAUCGCCCAUUGAAUGUUGAAUGAUGCGCUUGAUAUUGGUGACUAUAGGUACCCCAUUGCCAUCAAACUCCGAGGGAGAUGACGUCGUGAUUCCAUACACUAUGUCUCCAAGAAAUGCAAUGUCCACGAUGCAUGUGAAGGUCGUACUAUAUAGCUAAAGCAGCGAAACACCUUUUCCCGGACGGACAAAAAUGAUGGGGUAGUUCACAUUGUUGGUCAUGAAUAUUGCAAGACCAUCUGGAGUCGACCGUACGAGCACCUUACGAAUCUCAAACCACUCUAGUGCAUUCCGGAUGACGACAACAAUCUCAGGGAGUGGCACAGUCAAGAUUACCGCAGUUCUUUGCUUUGAGUCGAAAAUGUUUAUGGUGACAUUUAUGAUUUAACUUUGAUGUUUUACAUCAUGUGCUUAUAAAGUCCUAUAGCAGCUCUCGGUGUAUCAUCUAUGUCACGCCUGCAGAUGAUAUAUCCACAGCGGACUGAAAGUGUAGUUCACUUAACUGCAGUUAACUUUUUUUUUUGAGGGAAACUUAACUGCAGUUAACUGAACCGCAACGAGUGAGUUGUGUGCGUGUUGGGCCAAAGGCCAUGUAAUGUGUGUUGGGCCCAAGGCCAGGUUCGGUAGCCCAAGUGGGAUGCUACAUAUUGUACGGCGACCAGACUGAGGCUGCGAAUGAAUUGCCAACUAGUCUCCCCUUUCCCCUUGUCCAAGCUCGCUCUCACCUAACCUGUUGCUCCUCGCCUAUCUUCCUCCUUGAUCUUGAUCCCCUCCUCCCCAGGCCAUGACAAUUCGGUAAUUAGAGCCUAGAAAUUUUUCUCCACCACUCACCACUGCCGCUAAUUAGACCUGAUGCGCCAUAUUUGUAUUUUCUUGAUGCGACUUACUAUAAAUUAAUAAAAUCCAUCCUUUAUGAAAAAAAACGAAAAUGGCAGGCCAUUCAAGCAUUCAGCCCAAGGUAAGGACAAACGUAAAAGAAAAAGGAAGGCCCAACAUAAGGAGUAGCCCAUCUAGACCGCCUGGUUCUAUCCUAAUUCCUCAAGCCCAAUUCGGGAAUACAAGUGCUCAGCGAGUCGCCGACCAAAUCGCCGUUUCCACAGCUGGCGCAACCCUCCGGCGGCGCCGGCAUCCGGCGUGCCGUCGUGCCUCCGUUCCGCGCCCCUCGGCGCUCCGGAUUGGCGACAGGCCGCAGCAGCCGAGCGGCGUGGCCUCCGUUGAUUAUUGAAGAAGGAACACUCCGCCGUAAGUUAUUUUGGCUUCCUAGGUGAGAUUUGUUCGCGGUGAAUUCACGAGUUAUUGAAGAAGCGGCAUCAUGAAUUCAUGUGGCCUGCAGCGCUAAGUUCUUUGGGCUAUCAGAUUGCCCCGUGAGGAUUGAUGAGAUUGUUCUGGUUAAUCUUAAUUCUGUUCACAUGCUUUUUUCAGAUUCAGCUGCUUAACUGAAUCCAGUUUAGUUCCCUGCUAUUUACAUUGCCUUUUCUUAUUAUUCUCUAGCUCCUACAGUAUACUAAUCUUAUAUGUUUAAUCUUUUCCAUGGGUAGUGUUGUACUCUCCCUGUCCUGUAAUAUAAGAUGUUAUCUCAUAGAAUUAAUCUUUUCCAUUGGUAGUCUUGUACUCUCUCUGUCCCGUAGUAUAAGAUUUUAUCACAUUCAAUAUGUGAGUACUAGGAAAAAUACCUUUUCAAUUGCAACGGGUGAAAAAAACACUCAUAUGCAUCUAGCCCGUAAUACAUAAACGAUGAAGCAUUUGGUGGUUAGUUAAGACCUGACAUGUGAAGGAAAAGAAGCAAACGAAGUAAGCAUAGAAACAUAUCAAUUAUUUGGGAUUCACUUUGGCAGGGAGCCUGGCACGUCGCGAAUUGUAUGUUCCCUGUUUAAUUAGCCAAAGUGGCCGAUUUAGUUUAAAUCUCUUCUCGUACCGUAGGUGUAGAGCCGCACCCGAUUUAUUACUCGGUAGAGACGUCGAGUUCCAUUCCAUUACAUAUUUCUCUCGCCUUCCUUCCGUGUUUCUCUUUCCAGUCGCCUGGAAUUCACUCUCGCCACCAAUUUAUUCUUUGGAGAGGCCAGGUUCCAUUCCUUAUUUCUCUUUCACAUGACUAAUUGAUGAUUGACCAUCGGAUUUAUUCGCCACUGAUUUAUUCUGUGGAUAGGCAAGAAACCUUCCUUAUUACCUCGAUUUAUCCGGAGGCAAGAAACCUUCCUUGGUUAUUUCUGGAAUUUAUUCCUCACCCUUCGCUAAUUAUUCCGCAGACAGCUUCCUGUUACCCACAAAACUUAAAGGUGUAUAUAAAUUGUAAGGAUUCGAUGCAAGGGGCCGAGGUGGGACUAAUUUUUGGUUGAUUUCAAUGUUUAAGAUAUCUAUAAUUGGUAACAUAUCGGUCGGGGGCCGAGAAGGGAUUAACUGGCGAAUCAUCCAUUUAACGAAAUAUAUCGGUAACCCAUUUAUCGGUUAGGGGGAACUAGGGUCAUAUCUAUAUAUACUUAGGCAGAUAGGAUACAUAGCAACAUGCAUUGUACUGAAAUGUCUAAAUAUGGAAUCAUAUGCUACAUGCAAGGGCCAUAUCUAUAUAUACUCAGGGAAGGGAGGACUCCAUUGCCUGAGCUGCUUGUUGAGGGGUAACUUGCUGUUGCUCGGGUAGGGGAUAGAUCCAAAUACUGCUGACGGAGGGUCAGGGCGGAGGGGGAGAGGGGGCUGCUGGUGGAGGGGACACCACCGGCAGAUGCUGACUGGAGAGGGGCGGCGGCUCCUCCUCCAGGAGGGCGAGGGAGCAAUAGAUCGGGCAGGAGGGAGGAGUGGCCUAAACCUAAUGUUGUGGCAUCUAUGAAAAACUGAAAACUAGGGCGUUAAAGGGAGGGAACGGGUCAGAUUUGGGACAAAAUAUGCCGCCCAGAUAAUCGGCCUGGCUGAUAAUUCUGCCUGACAACUGAUAAAUCGGCUUGUCAGAAUGAUUAACUGGGACUCCGAAUUAAUGGACUGAAUAGGCCUUUCGUAUCAGAGGGGUCCGAAUAGUAGUUAACUUCUCAUAUCGUUAGUUAAUCGGCCGAUAUUUGUAACAAUGGUUGAUUUAUCACAACAUGCUAGCUAAUUUAUCAGAUGGGAGGCCAAUGAGCGGUUGCGUGCAUGGGCCGGCCAUGAAAGCCCUAGUGCGUGUGAAGGGCGCAGGAAGCAAUGAAAACAUAGCCCGACUUAAUAUGAUCUAUUAAACAUUGUUUUUUCACGUAACAUGGGCUGGUUGAGUUGGCUAAUCGGUCAUUUUCUGCCAACCUGAGUUCGAGUUCGUGUGGCAGGCACGAACCGUUCAUUUAUUUUUUGACGAACCGUUAUUUUAUUGCGGGUAGAUUGUACUAAAGGUCAUUCCAUUCCAUUCCAUAUUCUCUCUUUUCCUUCUGUAUUUCUCUUUCACAUGGCUAAUUGAUGAUUGACCACCGGAUUUAUUCACCACUGAUUUAUUCUGUGGAUAGGCAAGAAACCUUCCUUCCUUAGUACCCAGAUUAAUCUGGUGGCAAGAAACCUUCCUUCCUUAUUUCUGCAAUUCAUUCCUCACCCUUUGGUAAUUGAGUCCGGAGACAACUUCCUGUUACCCACCAAACUUAAAGGCAUAUAUAAAUUGUGGGACUAAUUUUUUUAAUAUUUUAUCAUAACACGUUGGCUGAUUUAUCGGAUGGAAGGCCCAUGAGCGGUUGCGUGCGUGGGCCGGUCCAGGCCAUGCAAGCCUAUGUGCAUGUGAAGGACGUAGGAAGCAAUGGAAAUAUAGCCCGGUAAUAUGAUCUAUUAAGCAUUGUUUUUUUCACGUAGCAUGGGCUGGUUAAAUUGGUUAAUCUGCCAAGUCGUGCUCUUUUUCUGCCAACCCGAGUUCGAGUCCGUACGCAGGCACGAACCGUUUUUCUAUUUUUUCUGACGAACCAUUUUUUUACUCCGGGUAGAUUGUACUAAAAGUCGUUGCAUUCCAUUCCAUAUCUCUCUUUCCAGUAGCGCCGGAAUUCACUCUCGCCACUAAUUUAUUAUGUGGAGAGGCCAGUUUCCAUUCCUUAUUUCUCUUUCACAUGGCUAAUUGAUGAUUGACCACCGGAUUUAUUCUGUGGAUAGGCAAGAAACCUUGCUUCCUUAUUUCUGGAAUCAUUCCUCACCCUUCGCUAAUUAAUUCCGGAGAGAGCUUCCUGUUACCCACAAAACUUAAAGGCGUAUAUACAUUGUAAGGAUUCGAUGCAAGGGGCUAAGGUGGGACUAACUUUGGGUUGAUUUAUCAUAACAUGUUGGCUGAUUUAUCGGAUGGAAGGCCCAUGAGCGUGGGCCGGUCCAGGCCAUGCAAGCUCCCGUGCGUGUAAAGGUCGCAUGAAGCAAUGGAAACAUAACCCGAUUUAAUAUGAUCUAAACAUUGUUUUUUCACAUAACACGGGCUGCUUGAGUUGGCUAAUCGGUCAAGUUGUGCUCCUUUUCUGCCAACCAGAGUUCGAGUCUGUGGGCAGGCGUGAACCGUUCAUUGUUUUUUAUGAAAUAGUUUUUUUACUACGGGUAGAUUGUACUAAAAGUCAAGGGUGUUUCUGUAAAAUGUCACGAUGGACCAAGAAUACAUAUUCCCUUUAUUAGUAGAGAAUUUAUUUAUUAGUAAAAAAAAUAUAGAUAAAGGAUGUAAUAACAUCACGUAAUCAUGGCUUUAUAGUUAAUGUUUAAACUACAAUGACAAAACUGCUAAAUCCACACUUUCAGUUUGGAGCAUGAUGGAUUGAUGGCACAUGUAUAUUCAACAAAAGAAACCCCUUUCCAACUUGCAGCAUGGGAAAUGGUUGCUAUUCAAGAUCACAAAUUAGGGUAUUGUAACGCAUGUCAAAUGAUAAUCAAGCUUUUGAGCUUACCAACGCGGUAGUCAGGUUCAGUUCUGUUUAUAGAAACAUACCGGACUUGCUUCCCUUUACUGCCAUCUCUCGGUUGUUCCUUUUUUUUCUAUGAACAAGCAACUUACUUAGUGCAGCAUUUAAUUUUGCAUGUGUUGUACUUUUAGUGUUAUGUGGUAGACUGCACGCUAAUUUAGGCUCCCUGUAUUCUGGAAAUAAUAGGACAGUUUAAUAUGGAUUCUGAAGCAAUGAGUACCUGUAAAAAGGCCAUGGUGGAAUCUACAUCUGUUGUGAGUUCAGACAGACUGAGCAGUUUGCCUCCAGAGAUAAAGGGCGACAUCCUCUCCCGUUUGAAUGUCGAAGAAGCGGUUAGGACUAGCACCUUGUCAAGUACUUGGAGGGAUGCAUGGACUAAUAUGCCAAAACUAAUUCUGCGUGAUGGAAAUUUUGCAAAACACAAGUUCGUCACAUUAGUCGAUAUGGUGCUAUCACUCCACAACGGAACUGUAGAGAAGUUCGAGAUUUCAGGUAGCAAGACUUACCAUGACGAGUUCGGCAGGUGGAUGCUCAUGCUUUCUAGGAGAUCACCAAGAUCAGUUAGAAUCGAGUUGAACUCUGGGCCAGGGUAUAGGAUUCCCUCAUGUCUAUUUUCUAUCGGCGAUUUGAAGCUUCUCUACCUGCAAAACUGCAUCAUCAGCUUGCCCCGGGUAUUCCAAGGUUUCAAGAGAUUAACUCACCUCAACCUGAUAAAGUUCUCCUCCACAGACUUGGACAUCCAAAAUCUGGUCUCGUUUUGCCCCGUACUGAAUUAUUUGAAACUAUCUUAUUUUGAGGGCAUCAACCAUCUAAACGUUCAAGCUCCUAAACUGAAACAUAUUUAUGUUGUCGGGGACUUUAAAGACAUUAUUUUUGAUGCCCCCAAUUUGGAGGGGGCCAUUCUCUUUCCUUAUCACAAAGGUAAAGCAUAUCCUUUGGAUCCAAUUGCGCUUCACAAGGAAAGCUAUGUCAAGCAGUUAUUGGGAAGCCUAAGUGACAUCAAAAGCCUUGCAAUUAGCGGCUUUUUACUGAUGGUGAGAUAUUAUUACCUCCAGCUUUACUAUGGCCUUCUUUUGGCUCCUGACUAAUCAGUGUUGCCAUUUCCUUUUUCUUCUCUUUGUUCAUGUUGCAGUAUCUAUCAAAUGGUUUAAUACUUACGAACCUCCCUGCCGUGUUUACUCGCCUAGAGAGUAUUUAUCUUGCAAUAUGCUUUGGGGACGAGCGGCAACUCUUGGCCGCUUGUUCAUUGUUUCAGAAUGCCCCUAACUUAAAGAAGCUUGACAUAUGGGUAUGUAUGCCUCCAGUAAAUCCUCUCCCUCGCUCAGUCAUCCAAUCAAUGUUCAUUCUUGUUUUUAUGGCACCUAAUGAGUUGUGGAAAAAAAAUGCAGAGGCCCUCUUCGAGCUCAUGGGUUCAGGAUCAGGUUCAAGAUCAGGUUCAUGAUCAGGCGAGCAUUCCAGAGCUUACCAUGCAAGUACAAUUGGAUCAUCUUGUAACAGCCAGUGUGAAAGGUUUCAGGGGUGUGGACUGCGAAGUCGAUUUCGUGGCAAAGCUACUGAACUGGGCACCGGCUCUGGAAGAAGUGCAGAUAGAAUGGAAGGGCAAAACAGAGUGCAGCAUGGUUCUUGCCAAGCUAUUAGCUCUGCCGAGGGUGUCUCCCAGGGCCAAGGUCAUUGUGACAUUUUGAUAAGCAUGCAUCCCUACAGUCUACAGAGCGCCCACCAUCACUUGCCGGUUUAAUUUGCAGCCAACUAGAACUGUUUCAUCUUUCUUUAUGCCAAGACUAGAUGAUGGCUAUAUAUGUGUGCAUUUGACUCAAAUCAUCAGGCCGCUAUUAGCAAGUGUUAUAUAUAUGGUUACAUAAUGAUUUGACUCAAAUCAUUAUGCCAAGACUAGAUGAUGGUUAUAUAUAUGUGUACUUAAUGUGCUAUUAGCAGGUGUUUUCCUUUAUUGAGCUGGGGACACACAAGCCGCUCUGGCCCUUCCUCAACUGCGUCAGUUCAGCUCUUCCUGCUUUGUCCCUUUGAUAUGCGUGUCGUAAAUUCCUGCUUCUAGCAAAUAUAUCUUUCCAUAAGAAGUAAUCAAAUAUAUGAUGACACCGUCAUCUUGUAUCAACCAGAAUGAAGAUGUGAAUCAAAGGCAUGAAACUGUACCUUCUGCAAGUGUAGACAUAUGAAGCCUGAGGUCAUGAGAUCGAAGCAGCUCAUGCCUGAAUCAGUCUACUUUUUGGAAAUCAAAGCAUUUAUCAGAUUGGUUUCAGAUUUGAAUGAGUCUUUCCUUACAUCUCCUAUUUUAUUUUUGGUUGAUAAGUGAAAUAUUCCUUCCUAUAUCAUUGUCGCCUUUAAUAUUCAUCUAUUGUUUGCUUCAGUAUUAUUCCCUGGUUUUCAGGUAUUAAUUAAAUCUCACUCUUGGAAUGCCUGGAUUAUGUUUCUAUAUGUUCAUGAGUAUAUAAAUAGGAGCACCCUUGAAGGACUGAACGAGCUUCCCUCGAGGUCCAGAGGGAAAAUUCGUAACAUGCUAUCUUGUGUUAUGAAAAAAAUACCAUAUCGAAACAAACAAACAAACCCUAGGACGAGUCAUUAGAGUAAAUAUACCAUUUUCGCUAGUGGUUUAAGCACCAUGUCAUUAUCCUUGUCCUUCUCCACAUUCUCCUGACUAGUCGCCUCAUAUUUGUCGUCGUUGUUCCACACAAUGGAAUCAUCAGUUGCCUCGUCAUCUUUGUCAUCACUCACAUUGAAAUCAUCAAUAGCUGCCUCCUCAUCCUCGUCAUCACCCAUUGAAUGUUGAAUGAUGCGCUUGUUAUUGGUGACUAUAGGUACCCCAUUGCCAUCAAAGUCACCUCCAAGGCAGACGACGUCCCGAUUCCAUACACUAUCUCUCCAAGGAAUGCAAUGUCCACCAUACACUAUAUACCUGAAGCAACCAAACACCCUUUCCCCGGAUGGACAAAAAUGAUGGGGUAGUUCACAUUGUUGGUCAUGAAGAUGGCAAGGCCAUCCGGAGUCGACCGCACAAGCACCUUACGAAUCUCAAACCACUCUAGGGCAUUCCCGAUGAUGGCGUCAACCUCAGGAAGUGGCACGGUCGUUCUGAAGAUUACCACACCCCUUGGCUUGGAGUCGACCGUAAAUGUUUACGGUCACAUUUAUGAUUUAACUUUGAUGUUUUACAUCAUGUGCUUAUGAAGUCCUGUAGCAGCACACGGGGCAUCAUCUAGUAUACCUAAGAGAGUCAUCUCACUACUUCCAAUUUGUCUCCACAUGUGUGCUUCCACAUCAUCAAAAUUAAAGUGGCUGUUAGAUUUACUAGCUCUAUCCACCACCACCCGUCCAAUAUAUGCAUGAGAGUCCUACACCAGGGGUGGCUUCUCCAAGAGGAACCCGGCGGUUCACCUAGCGGUUAGCCUCUCAGGCCCACCAAGAAGAUAAGGACAGGAGGAGGGCGCAAGGCGACCUAUAGGUGGUCCGAGGACCGUCGUGGACUCCAAGCUAAGAGGGCGGCUGGAGUAGAUCGCAUCAGCCUCAUGUAAAUCCUAGCUCCCACCGUCCAUAUAAAGGGAAGCUAGAGGACCUUAAACGCAUCUACUCUCCUGUAGGAUAACUCUCUGUAGCAAUCCCAUCUACACCAUUAUAAAUAUAUGUAUGUGUGUCUAUAUGAGUGUAUGCAUCUGUAUAGUGAUUCUAUAAUAGAGGGAGUAACUAUCACCCUUUGUCCCCACAAAAAAGAAUCACCAAAAUUGUGUGGCGUGCUACCUAACUCUUAUCAUUGUCAAUGGGUUGAAUGGUUCUGCGUUCAUUAAGUCUCUACAUGGUCGUGGUGGCGGUCCUAUUUCACUACUACGAUUAGAAUAGCAUUGGCCGUCAAACCAUAUCAUCACUGACGCGCGAGCUGCCUGUCAGUGCCUCGGGUCAGUGAUAACUUGGCAGUUACAAAUGGGCCAGUAGGCCUGUGAGUGAUAUCAAACGCAUCACCAAUGCCACCUUGUCUGUGAUAAUAAUUCCAUUAUCCGUUUAUUGCCUAAGCUUUACUUAUGUUUGUUUCACAGCCAGGCAAAUGAAUUUGACGAAACAACAAAACAGAAUAUGCACUCAUCGAUAUUGCACAAUAACUUUACUUUUCAUAAGAUAGAGACAUAUAAUUGGGUUUUAAAGAGUUCAUGUACAUUGAACAUACUUCAUACACAAUAUAUGAAAUAUUCUUGUAUAACCCAGGAAGAUAAGUCUAGUGUGAUGUCCUAGUACUAUAUCGUCCCGAGUAGUCCACCCAUCUUGUAUCACCAUUUCGCGUCAGUACAUCUCCAUAUAAGUCUUUUGUGAUGUGCACAAAAUAUGCACAUUAGAGGAGGUGCAUGAUGGAGAAAAUGAAACUUUGUCUUUGUGUGCUGUACACCCAAAAUAUAAUCUGUUCCAAAACAGAUUCACGAGCAAGUUAUGACUUAGAAUAAUAACUUAUGAGUGUGAUUGUACUAAAUGAAGAUUACUUAUAACAAUUAUACCUUCGAAGUUGGUCGAGUGGUAACCGGAGUGUUGAAGGAGACACUAGAAGUCUUAAAGGCAAACUUAAUCUCUAGAGUAGCAAGUGUCACUCCUGAUACUUCUCCCCAGCAAUUUUUUGUGCAGUGUGGUGGUGUCCUAGACUCGGGGGGUUCCUAUACCAUGUCGAUUCUCGGCCAGGUGGGUGAAGGAAAUAUGCCCUAGAGGCAAUAAUAAAGUUAUUAUUUAUUUCCUCAUAUCAUGAUAAAUGUUUAUUAUUCAUGCUAGAAUUGUAUUAACCGGAAACAUAAUACAUGUGUGAAUACAUAGACCAACAUAACGUCACUAGUAUGCCUCUACUUGACUAGCUCAUUAAUCAAAGAUGGUUAUGUUUCCUAACCAUGGACAUGUGUUGUCAUUUGAUUAACGGGAUCACAUCAUUAGGAGAAUGAUGUGAUUGACAUGACCCAUUCCGUUAGCCUAGCACUUGAUCGUUUAGUAUAUUGCUAUUGCUUUCUUCAUGACUUAUACAUGUUCCUAUGACUAUGAGAUUAUGCAACUCCCGUUUACCGGAGGAACACUUUGGGUGCUACCAAACGUCACAACGUAACUGGGUGAUUAUAAAGGAGUACUACAGGUGUCUCCAAAGGUACAUGUUGGGUUGGCGUAUUUCGAGAUUAGGUUUUGUCACUCCGAUUGUCGGAGAGGUAUCUCUGGGCCCUCUCGGUAAUGCACAUCACUAUAAGCCUUGCAAGCAAUGUAGCUAAUGAGUUAGUUACGGAAUGAUGCAUUACGUAACGAGUAAAGAGACUUGCCGGUAACGAGAUUGAACUAGGUAUUGGAUACCGACGAUCAAAUCUCGGGCAAGUAACAUACCGAUGACAAAGGGAACAACGUAUGUUGUUAUGCGGUUUGACCGAUAAAGAUCUUCGUAGAAUAUCUAGGAGCCAAUAUGGGCAUCCAGGUUCCGCUAUUGGUUAUUGACCAAGAAUAGUUCUAGGUCAUGUCUACAUAGUUCUUGAACCCGUAGGGUCCGCACGCUUAAGGUUUCGAUGACAGUUAUAUUAUGAGUUUAUGAGUUUUGAUGUACCGAAGGAGUUCAGAGUCCCGGAUGAGAUCGGGGGCAUGACGAGGAGUCUCGAAAUGGUCAAGACGUAAAGAUCGAUAUAUUGACGACUAUAUUCGGAGUUCGAAAAGGUUCCGAGUGAUUCGGGUAUUUUUCGGAGUACCGGAGAGUUACGGGAAUUCGCCGGGGAGUAUAUGGGCCUUAUUGGGCCAUACGGGAAUAGAGGAGAGAGGCCAAAAGGAAGGAGGCCUGCGCCCCCCCUCUGGUCCGAAUUGGACAAGGGGCGCAGCCCCCCUUUCCUUCUUCCUCUCCCCCUCUUUCCCCUUCUCCUACUCCAACAAGGGAGGUGGAAUCCUACUAGGACUAGGGAGUCCUAGUAGGACUCCACACUUGGCGCGCCCCCUCCUAGGGCCGGCCUCCUCCCCCCUUGCUCCUUUAUAUACGGGGGCAGGGGGGCACCCCAUGACACUCAAGUUGAUCUACGUGAUCGUUCCUUAGCCGUGUGCGGUGCCCCCCUCCACCAUAUUCCACCUCGGUCAUAUCGUCACGGAGUUUAGGCGAAGCCCUGCGCCGGUAGAACAUCAUCAUCGUGACCACGCCGUCGUGCUGACGGAACUCAUCCCCGACACUUUGCUGGAUCGGAGUCCGGGGAUCGUCAUCGAGCUGAACGUGUGCUGAACUCGGAGGUGCCGUACGUUCGGUACUUGGAUCGGUCGGAUCAUGAAGACGUACGACUACAUCAACCGCGUUGUCACAACGCUUCCGCUUACGGUCUACGAGGGUACGUGGACAAUACUCUCCCCUCUCGUUGCUAUGCAUCACCAUGAUCCUUGCGUGUGCGUAGGAAUUUUUUUGAAAUUACUACGUUCCCCAACAGUGGCAUCCGAGCCUAGGUUUUAUGCGUAGAUGUUAUAUGCACGAGUAGAACACAAGUGAGUUGUGGGCGAUACAAGUCAUACUGCUUACCAGCAUGCCAUACUUUGGUUCGGCGGUAUUGUUGGAUGAAGCGGCCCGGACCGACAUUACGCGUACACUUACGCGAGACUGAUUCUACCGACGUGCUUUGCACACAGGUGGCUGGCGGGUGUCAGUUUCUCCAACUUUAGUCGAACCGAGUGUGGCUACGCCCGGUCCUUGAGAAGGUUAAAACAGCACUAACUUGACGAACUAUUGUUGUGGUUUUGAUGCGUAGUUAAGAACGGUUCUUGCUCAGCCCAUAGCAGCCACGUAAAAUAUGCAACAACAAAGUAGAGGACGUCUAACUUGUUUGUGCAGGGCAUAUUGUGAUGUGAUAUGGUCAAGACGUGAUGAGGUAUAAGUUAUUGUAUGAGAUGAUCAUGUUUUGUUGAAGUUAUCGGCAACUGGCAGAAACCCUAUGGUUGUCUCUUUGUUGCAUAAUAUGCAAGUGCCAAAUAAUUGCUUUACUUUAUCGCUAUGCGAUAGCAAUAGUUGCAAGAGCAAUAGUUGGCGAGACGACCAUGUGACGAUACAUUGAUAUAGAUCAAGAUGAUGAAGAUCAUGGUGUCAUGCUGGUGAUGAUAGAGAUCAUGACAGUACUUUGGAGAUGGAGAUCAAAGGCGCAAGAUGAUCAUGGCCAUAUCAUGUCACAUAUUUUGAUUGCAUAUGACGUUUAUCUAUAAUACAUCUUAUUUUGCUUAGUUCGGCGGUAGCAUUUUAAGAUGAUCUAUCACUAAUUAUCAAGAAGUGUUCUCCCUGAGUAUGCACUGUUGUGAAAGUUUUUCGUGCUGAGACACCACAUGAUGAUCGGGUGUGAUAGGCUCUACGUUCAAAUACAACGGGUGCAAAACAGUUGCACACGCGGAAUACUCAGGUUAAACUUGACGAGCCUAGCAUAUAACAGAUAUGGCCUCGGAACACGGAGAUCGAAAGGUCGAGCGUGAAUCAUAUAGUAGAUAUGAUCAACAUAUUGAUGUUCACUGUUGAAACUACUCCAUCUCACGUGAUGAUCGGACAUGGUGUAGUUGAUAUGGAUCACGUAAUCACUUAGAGGAUUAGAGGGAUGUAUGUCUAAGUGGGAGUUCUUAAGUAAUAUGAUUAAUUGAACUUUAAUUUAUCAUGAACUUAGUCCUGGUAGUAUUUUGCAAAUUAUGUUGUAGAUCAAUAGCUCGCGUUGUUGCUUCUCUAUGUUUUUGCUUCCCUAUGUUUUAUAUGUGUUCCUAGAGAAAACUGUGUUGAAAGAUGUUAGUAGCAAUGAUGCGGAUUGGAUCCGUGAUCUGAGGUUUAUCCUCAUUGCUGCAUAGAAGAAUUAUGUCCUUGAUGCACCGCUAGGUGACAGACCUAUUGCAGGAGCAGAUGCAGACGUUAUGAAUGUUUGACUAGCUCAAUAUGAUGACUACUUGAUAGUUUAGUGCACCAUGCUUAACGGCUUAGAAUCGGGACUUUAAAGACGUUUUGAACGUCAUGGACCAUAUGAGAUGUUCCAGGAAUUGAAGUUAAUAUUUCAAGCAAAUACCCGAGUUGAGAGAUAUGAAGUCUCCAACAAGUUCUAUAGCUAAAAGAUGGAGGAGAAUCGCUCAAUUAGUGAGCAAGUACUUAGAUUGUCUGAGUACUACAAUCGCUUGAAUCAAGUGGGAGUUAAUCUUCCAGAUAAGAUAGUGAUUGACAGAAUUCUCUAGUCACCAUCACCAAGUUAGUAGAACUUCGUGAUGAACUAUAAUAUGCAAGGGAUGACAAAAGUAAUUCCCAAGCUCUUUGUGAUGCUGAAAUCGACGAAGAUAGAAAUCAAGAAAAACAUCAAGUAUUGAUAGUUAACAAGACCACUAGUUUCAAGAAAAGGGCAAAGGGAAGAAGGGGAACUUCAAGAAAAACGGCAAGCAAGUUGCUGCUCAAAUGAAGAAGCCCAAGUCUGGACCUAAGCCUGAGACUGAGUGCUUCUACUGCAAAGGAACUGGUCACUGGAAGCGGAACUGCCCCAAGUAUUUGGCGGAUAAGAAGGAUGGCAAAGUGAACAAAGGUAUAUUUGAUAUACAUGUUAUUGAUGUGUACUUUACUAGUGUUUAUAGUAGCCCCUGAGUAUUUGAUACUUGUUCGGUUGCUAAGAUUAGUAACUCGAAACAGGAGUUACAGAAUAAACAGAGACUAGUUGAAGGGGAAGUGACGAUGAGUGUUGGAAGUAGUUCCAAGAUUGAUAUGAUCAUCAUCACACACUCCCUAUAUUUUCGGGAUUAGUGUUAAACCUAAAUAAAUGUUAUUUAGCUUUUGCGUUGAGCAUGAAUAUGAUUUGAUCAUGUUUAUUGCAAUACGGUUAUUCAUUUAAAGUCAGAGAAUAAUUGUUGUUCUGUUUACAUGAAUAAAACCUUCAAUGGUCAUACACCCAAUGAAAAUAGUUUGUUGGAUCUCGAUCGUAGUGAUACACAUAUUCAUAAUAUUGAUGCCAAAAGAUGCAAAGUUAAUAAUGAUAGUGCAACUUAUUUGUGGCACUGCCGUUUGAGUCAUAUCGGUGUAAAGCGCAUGAAGAAACUCCAUAAAGAUGGACUUUUGGAAUCACUUGGUUAUGAAUCAUUUGAUGCUUGCGAACCGUGCCUUUUGGGCAAGAUGACUAAAACUCCGUUCUCCGGAACAAUGGAACGAGCUACUGACUUGUUGGAAAUAAUACAUACUGAUGUAUGCGGUCCAAUGAGUGUUGAUGCUCGUGGCAAGUAUCGUUAUUUUCUGACCUUCACAGAUGAUUUGAGCAGAUAUGGGUAUAUCUACUUAAUGAAACACAAGUCUGAAACAUUUGAAAAGUUCAAAGAAUUUCAGAGUGAAGUGGAGAAUCAUCGUAACAAGAAAAUAAAAGUUUCUACGAUAUGAUCGCAGAGGUAAAAUAUUUGAGUUACGAGUUUGGCCUUUAGUUAAAACAAUGUGAAAUAGUUUCACUACUCACGCCACCUGGAACACCACAGUGUAAUGGUGUGUCCGAACGUCAUAACCGCACAUUAUUGAUAUGGUGCGAUCUAUGAUGUAUCUUACCGAUUACCACUAUCGUUUUGGGGUUAUGCAUUAGAGACAGCUGCAUUCACUUUAAAUAGGGCACCAUCAAAAAUCCGUUUGAGACGACGCCUUAUGAACUGUGGCUUGGCAAGAAACCAAAGUUGUCGUUUCUUAAAGUUUGGGACUGCGAUGCUUAUGUGAAAAAGUUUCAACCUGAUAAGCUCGAACCUAAAUCGGAGAAAUGCGUCUUCAUAGGAUACCCAAAGGAGACUGUUGGGUACACCUUCUAUCACAGAUCCUGAGGCAAAUUCGUUGCUAAGAAUGGAUCCUUUCUAGGGAAGGAAUUUCUCUCGAAAGAAGUGAGUGGGAGGAAAGUAGAGCUUGAUAAGGUAAUUUGUACCUUCUCCUGAAUUGGAAACUAGUUCAUCACUGAAAUCAGUUCCAGUGAUGCCUACACCAAUUAGUGAGGAAGCUAAUGAUGAUGAUCAUGAAACUUCAGAUCAAGUUAUUACCGAACCUCGUAGGUCAACCAGAGUAAGAUCCGCACCAGAGUGGUACGGUAAUCCUAUUCUGGAAGUCAUGUUACUAGACCAUGAUAAACCUACGAACUAUGAGGAAGCGAUGAUGAGCCUAGAUUCCACGAAAUGGCUUGAGGCCAUGAAAUCUGAGAUGGGAUCCAUGUAUGAGAACAAAGUGUGGACUUUGGUGGAGUUGCCCGAUGAUCGGCAAGCCAUAUUGUAUAAAUGGAUCUUCAAGAGGAAGAUAGAUGCUGAUUGUAGUGUUACUAUCUACAAAGCUCGACUUGUCGCAAAAAGGUUUUCGACAAGUUCAAGGUGUUGACUACAAUGAGAUUUUCUCAACUGUAGCGAUGCUUAAGUCUGUCCAAAUCAUGUUAGCAAUUGCCACAUUUUAUGAAAUCUGGCAAAUGGAUGUCAAAACUGCAUUCCUUAAUGGUUUUCUUAAAGAAGAGUUGUAUAUGAUGCAACCAGAAGGUUUUGUCAAUCCUAAAGGUGCUAACAAAAUGUGCAAGCUCCAGCGAUCCAUCUAUGGACUGGUGCAAGCAUCUCGGAGUUGGAAUAUAUGCUUGAUGAGUUGAUCAAAGCAUAUGGUUUUAUACAGACUUUUGGAGAAGCCUGUAUUUACAAGAAAGUGAGUGGGAGCUCUGUAGCAUUUCUAAUAUUAUAUGUGGAUGACAUAUUGUUGAUUGGAAAUGAUAUAGAAAUUCUGGAUAGCAUAAAAAGGAUACUUGAAUAAGAGUUUUUCAAAGCAAGACCUUGGUGAAGCUGCUUACACAUUGAGCAUCAAGAUCUAUAUAGAUAGAUCAAGAUGCUUUAUAAGAUUUUGCAAUGAGUACAUACCUUGAUAAAUUUUUUGAAAUAGUUCAAAAUGGAACAGUGCAAGAAGGAGUUCUUGCCUGUGUUGCAAGGUGUGAAGUUGAGUAAGACUCAAGACCCGACCAUGGCAGAAAAUAGAAAGAGAAUGAAAAAGUCAUUUCCUAUGCCUCAGUCACAGGUUCUAUAAAGUAUGCUAUGCUGUGAACCAGACCUAUUGUAUACCUUGCUCUGAGUUUGGCGGAGGAAUACAAUUUUGAUCUAAUAGUAGAUCACUGGACAGCAGUCAAGAAUAUCCUUAGUGAGGACUAAGGAGAUGUUUCUCGAUUAUGGAGGUGAUAAAAGAGUUCGUUGUAAAAGUUACAUCGGUGCAAACUUUUACACUGAUCUAGAUGACUCUAAGUCUCAAUCUGGAUACAUAUUGAAAGUGGGAGCAAUUAGCUAGAGUAGCUCCGUACAGAGCAUUGUAGACAUAGAAUAUUUUGCAAAAUACAUACGGCUUUGAAUGUGACAGACCCGUUGACUAAACUUCUCUCACGAGCAAAACAUGAUCAUACCUUAGUACUCUUUGGGCGUUAAUCACAUAGUGAUGUGAACUAGAUUAUUGACUCUAGUAAACCUUUUGGGUGUUGGUCACAUAACGAUGUGAACUAUGGGUGUUAAUCACAUACAAAUGUGAAUAUUGGUGUUGAAUCACAUGAUGAUGUGAACUAGAUUAUUGACUCUAGUGCAAGUGGGAGACUGAAGGAAAUAUGCCCUAGAGGCAAUAAUAAAGUUAUUAUUUAUUUCCUCAUAUCAUGAUAAAUGUUUAUUAUUCAUGCUAGAAUUGUAUUAACCGGAAACAUAAUACAUGUGUGAAUACAUAGACCAACAUAACGUCACUAGUAUGCCUCUACUUGACUAGCUCAUUAAUCAAAGAUGGUUAUGUUUCCUAACCAUGGACAUGUGUUGUCAUUUGAUUAACGGGAUCACAUCAUUAGGAGAAUGAUGUGAUUGACAUGACCCAUUCCGUUAGCCUAGCACUUGAUCGUUUAGUAUAUUGCUAUUGCUUUCUUCAUGACUUAUACAUGUUCCUGUGACUAUGAGAUUAUGCAACUCCCGUUUACCGGAGGAACACUUUGGGUGCUACCAAACGUCACAACGUAACUGGGUGAUUAUAAAGGAGUACUACAGGUGUCUCCAAAGGUACAUGUUGGGUUGGCGUAUUUCGAGAUUAGGUUUUGUCACUCCGAUUGUCGGAGAGGUAUCUCUGGGCCCUCUCGGUAAUGCACAUCACUAUAAGCCUUGCAAGCAAUGUAGCUAAUGAGUUAGUUACGGAAUGAUGCAUUACGUAACGAGUAAAGAGACUUGCCGGUAACGAGAUUGAACUAGGUAUUGGAUACCGACGAUCAAAUCUCGGACAAGUAACAUACCGAUGACAAAGGGAACAACGUAUGUUGUUAUGCGGUUUGACCGAUAAAGAUCUUCGUAGAAUAUGUAGGAGCCAAUAUGGGCAUCCAGGUUCCGCUAUUGGUUAUUGACCAAGAAUAGUUCUAGGUCAUGUCUACAUAGUUCUCGAACCCGUAGGGUCCGCACGUUUAAGGUUUCGAUGACAGUUAUAUUAUGAGUUUAUGAGUUUUGAUAUACCGAAGGAGUUCGGAGUCCCGGAUGAGAUCGGGGGCAUGACGAGGAGUCUCGAAAUGGUCGAGACGUAAAGAUCGAUAUAUUGGACGACUAUAUUCGGAGUUCGGAAAGGUUCCGAGUGAUUCGGGUAUUUUUCGGAGUACCGGAGAGUUACGGGAAUUCGCCGGGGAGUAUAUGGGCCUUAUUGGGCCAUACGGGAAUAGAGGAGAGAGGCCAAAAGGAAGGAGGCCUGCGCCCCCCCUCUGGUCCGAAUUGGACAAGGGGCGCAGCCCCCCUUUCCUUCUUCCUCUCCCCCUCUUUCCCCUUCUCCUACUCCAACAAGGGAGGUGGAAUCCUACUAGGACUAGGGAGUCCUAGUAGGACUCCACACUUGGUGCGCUCCCUCCUAGGGCCGGCCUCCUCCCCCCUUGCUCCUUUAUAUACGGAGGCAGGGGGACAUCCCAUGACACACAAGUUGAUCUACGUGAUCGUUCCUUAGCCGUAUGCAGUGCCCCCCUCCAUCAUAUUCCACCUCGGUCAUAUCGUCGCGGAGUUUAGGCGAAGCCCUGCUCCGGUAGAACAUCAUCAUCGUCACCACGCCGUCGUGCUGACGGAACUCAUCCCCGACACUUUGCUGGAUCGGAGUCCGGGGAUCAUCAUCGAGCUGAACGUGUGCUGAACUCGGAGGUGCCGUACGUUCGGUACUUGGAUCGGUCGGAUCGUGAAGACGUACGACUACAUCAACCGUGUUGUCACAACGCUUCCGCUUACGGUCUACGAGGGUACGUGGACAAUACUCUCCCCUCUCGUUGCUAUGCAUCACCAUGAUCCUUGCGUGUGCGUAGGAUUUUUUUUGAAAUUACUACGUUCCCCAACAGUGGGCCGGGCCGAGGACCCUCUUUGUCAGUUUUGUCUUGGCCCACUUCGGGUAGCUCAUGACGCAUACAAGAAAGAUUCCACAAGACUUAUGCACAAGACGAGGACUCUUCCGAAUCCUAGGCCUCCAGUACAUUAUAUAAACCGAGGCUAGGCUAGUCGAUAGAUCAUCACUAGUAGAAAAAGGACCUAAUAUGAGACACAUUAGUGCCGGUUUGGUUUUGAGCUGGCACUAAUGUGUCCAAUAGUACCGGUUCCAAUAGCUAGCCGGCCGUUCUCAUUAGUACCGGUUCGUGGCGAACCUACAGUACUGGUUCGUGCCACGAACCGGUACUAAAAAGGGUGGUGGCAGGGUGUUGUCAGUCUGGGGCCCGUCCAGCACCUUUAGUACCGGUUCGUGGCACGAACCGGUACUAAAGGUCGACGUACAUANNNNNNNNNNNNNNNNNNNNNNNNNNNNNNNNNNNNNNNNNNNNNNNNNNNNNNNNNNNNNNNNNNNNNNNNNNNNNNNNNNNNNNNNNNNNNNNNNNNNNNNNNNNNNNNNNNNNNNNNNNNNNNNNNNNNNNNNNNNNNNNNNNNNNNNNNNNNNNNNNNNNNNNNNNNNNNNNNNNUUCUUUCCCUUUCCCCUCACUUCCUCUGUUCUUCCCCCUCUCUCCUCGAGCUCCUCACAAAUUUUGCCCAAAAUUUAUCAAGAUUUGAAGGCCCCCAUCCAUUCAAAUGAUCACAAAGGUUAGCAACUUUGUCCUUUCAACUCUCAUUGCUUGAUUAGCUCUUUCAAUGCUUUGUAUAGUGAUUAAUUUGGGUGGAAUAAUUAUAUUUGCUAGUAUUUGAUUUAUAUGCAAUUUGAGCACAAAAAUAACACUUAGUUUGCAUAUGUAGGUGUGGUUUACUUAGUGCCUUCUAAAUCUCCUCCGUAACCACCGUCGAUCGCCCGCACCGUCCCGUCGCCGGCACCACCUUCUGGUGAGGCUCUUGUUCAUGAAUGUUUUACAUUACCAAAUUGAUGUUUAUGUGAUUUGGAUAUAUAGUUACUCGUAUAAUUAUCUUACCCGUACGUUGUUUGUUAUACAUAGUGCCAUGGUUUUGAUAUCCAUCCCCGUCGGCCCUCGUCCUUGUUAUGAUUCAGAUGUGGUAUAUUCUCUUUUAAAACUAGUUGUUGCAUUUCGUGUUUAUGACAAAUUAUGCCCAUCAAGUUGACAUAGAUAUUUUUAUCUAGAAGGUAUGUGAACCGGAAAUUCCAACCGACCCUAUUGUCGAGAGGUUAAAUUUAGUUGAAAGAGAGAACGAGUAUUUGAAAGAAAAAUUGAAAAGAAUUGAGGGGGAGAAGAUGGAAUUAGAGUUGCAUGUUGCCGAUGUCGUCGAUGAUCACAAGAUCAAGAUGGAGAAAAUUAGGUUGAAGAUUAGAAAGAUUAGAAAAUAUGCCAUUGAUAGUGUGGCUUGGUAUCAUUAUGUUGUUGGAUCAAUUGUUACCUUAAUUGCGAUCUUCAUCGCAUUUGUUGUUGCAUUUAAAUUCUUUAGCUAGAGAGUUAUUUGUAUGUUGCAUUUAAUUAAGUGUUGUAUAUGAACUUUAUGUAUGAACUUGUAUUAAUUUGGUCUAUUCGGUGUUGUGUAAUGAAGAUGAGCCGGCAAUGGAUGUAUGAUGACAGAUGCUCUCCCGAGUUCAUUAAUGGCGUGCAUACUUUUCUGCUUGCCGCUGAGGCAAACAAGCGGGCGGAUGGUUUUAUGCCUUGUCCAUGUGCUGGCUGUAAGAAUGGUCACAGUUACUCUACAUCAAGAACCAUUCACGUCCACCUAUUUGAGUCCGGUUUCAUGCCCCACUAUAAUGUUUGGACCAAGCACGGAGAAAUAGGGGUUAUGAUGGAAGACAAUGAAGAAGAAGAGGACGACGACGGCUAUCCUGGCCAUGGGUUCCCUGAAUACGAUGAUACAACAAUGGGGGAAGAAGCUAAGCCGGCAAUGCAGAAAGAAGCUGAAGAAGAGGCAUCAGAUGAGCCCGCUGAUGAUCUAGAUCGGGCCAUUGCUGAUGCAAAGAGAAACUGCGCAAGUGAUCUGGAGAGGACGAAGUUGCAGCGCAUGUUAGAGGAUCACAAGAAAUUGUUGUACCCGAAUUGCGAAGCUGACAAAAAAAAGUUGGGCACUACACUUGAAUUGCUGCAAUGGAAGGCAGAGAAUGGUCUAUCUGACAAGGGAUUUGGAAAGUUGCUGGUAAUGAUAAAGAAUAUGCUUCCAAAGGACAACGAAUUGCCCGAGAGUACGUAUGAAGCAAAGAAGGAUGUCUGUCCUCUAGGGUUAGAGGUGCAAAAGAUACAUGCAUGCCCUAAUGACUGCAUCCUCUACCGCGGUGAGUACGAGGAUUUGAAUGCUUGCCCGGUAUGCGGUGUAUUGCGUUAUAAGAUCAGUCGCGAUGAACCUGGUGAUGUCGAGGGUGAGCACCCCAGGAAGAAGAUUCCUGCCAAGGUGAUGUGGUAUGCUCCUAUAAUACCACGGUUGAAACGUUUAUUCCAAAACAAAGAGCAUGCGAAGGCGAUGCGGUGGCACGCAGAAGACCGUAAGAAAGACGGAAAGUUGAGAGCACCCGCUGACGGUUCACAGUGGAGAAAAAUCGAGAGAAAGUACUAGGAGGAGUUUGCAGGUGACCCAAGGAACGUAUGGUUUGGUCUAAGCGCAGAUGACAUUAAUCCUUUUGGGGAGCAGAGCAGCAACCAUAGCACGUGGCCUGUGACUCUAUGUUUGUAUAACCUUCCUCCUUGGUUGUGCAUGAAGCGGAAGUUCAUUAUGAUGCCAGUGCUCAUCCAAGGCCCUAAGCAACCCGGCAACGACAUUGGUGUGUACCUAAGGCCAUUAGUUGAAGAACUCUUACAACUGUGAAAUGGAACAGGUGUACGUGCGUGGGAUGAGCACAUGGAGGAAGAAUUUGACCUAAAGGCGUUGCUGUUCGUGACCAUCAAUGAUUGGCCUGCUCUUAGUAACCUUUUAGGACAGACAAACAAGGGAUACCGCGGAUGCACGCACUGGUUGGAUGAUACCGACAAUACAUAUUUGAAUAGUUGUAAGAAAAAUGUGUACCUGGGACAUCGUCGAUUUCUUCCAAGCAGGCAUCCCGUAAGAAAGAAAGGCAAGCAUUUCAAAGAUGAGGCGGAUCACCGAACGAAGCCUCGCCACCGUACUGGUGCUGAUGUAGAUGAUAUGGUCAAGGAUUUGAAGGUAAUCUUUGGAAAGGGUCCUGGCGGACAACCUGUUCCGAAGGACACUGACGGACGCGCACCCAUGUGGAAGAAGAAAUCUAUAUUUUGGGACCUGCCAUAUUGGAAAGACCUAGAGGUCCGCUCCGCAAUCGACGUGAUGCAUGUGACGAAGAAUCUUUGCGUGACCCUGCUUGGCUUUUUGGGCGUGUAUGGGAAGACAAAAGAUACACCAGAGGCACGGGAGGACCAGCAACGUAUGCACGGAAAAGACGACAUACAUCAGGGUCAGGCCAGCUACGCUCUUACCAAAGAAGAGAAGGAAAUCUUCUUUGAAUGCCUGCUCAGCAUGAAGGUACCGUCUGGCUUCUCGUCGAAUAUAAAGGGAAUAAUAAAUAUGGCAGAGAAAAAGUUCCAGAACCUAAAGUCUCAUGACUGCCACGUGAUUAUGACGCAACUCCUUCCGGUUGCAUUGAGGGGGCUUCUACCGGAAAACGUUCGAUUGGCCAUUGUGAAGCUAUGUGCAUUCCUCAAUGCAAUCUCUCAGAAGGUAAUCGAUCCAGAAAUCAUACCAAGGUUACAGAAUGAUUUGGUGCAAUGUCUUGUCAGUUUCAAGUUGGUGUUCCCACCAUCCUUCUUCAACAUCAUGACACACGUCCUAGUUCACCUUUGCGAAGAGAUUAACGUUUUGGGUCCUGUAUUUCUACACAAUAUGUUCCCCUUUGAAAGGUUCAUGGGAGUCUUGAAGAAAUAUGUUCAUAACCAUGCUAGGCUAGAAGGAAGCAUCUCGAAGGGCCAUCACAAUGAGGAGGUCAUUGAGUUUUGUAUUGACUUUAUUCCUGACCUUAAGCCGAUUGGUGUUCCUGAAUCGCGGCAUAAGGGCAGACUGGAAGGAAAAGGCACGCUAGGAGGGCAUCAAAUAAUAUGUAUGGACGGACAUUCUCUCACUGAAGCACACUACACAGUUCUACAGAAUUCCGCCUUGGUGGCUCCGUAUAUGGAGGAACACAAGAAUUUUCUAUAGUCCAAACACCCGGAGAAGUCUGACGACUAGAUUACACGCGAACAAACGAGGACUUUUGCCGGUUGGUUGCAGAAACGUGCCCUGAAUGAUGGCGAUAUUCAAAAUGACCUGUACUCGCUGUCCCAGUUACCAUCUUCGAAUAUAAUGACUUUCAAAGGGUACCAGAUAAAUGGGAAUACAUUUUACACGAUCGCCCAAGAUAAGAAGAGCACCAACCAAAACAGUGGUGUCCGCUUUGAUGCAACAACCAACACGGGAAAGGAAACAUAUUAUGGUUACAUAGAGGACAUAUGGGAACUUAACUAUGGAUCAGGUGAUUUGAAGGUCCCUUUGUUUCGGUGCAAAUGGGUCAAUAUGACACGAGGCGGGGUAACGGAAGACCCGCAGUACGGAAUGACAACAGUGGAUCUCAACAAUCUUGCGUAUGCAGACGAACCAUUCGUCCUAGCCAAUGAUGUGGCGCAUGUUUUUUAUGUGAAAGACAUGUCUACCAGGCCGAGAAAAAGAAAAGAUAAGGAAGCGAAUGGAUCAUACGACGAGCCAAAGCGCCACAUAGUUCUUUCAGAAAAAAGAAACAUCGUGGGAGUGGAUGACAAGACAGACAUGUCAGAAGAUUAUGAAAAGUUUGAUGAAAUUGCUCCAUUCACAGUGAAUAUUGACCCGAGCAUCCAGUUAAAUGAUGAAGAUUUUCCCUAGCUACGACGCAAAGGGACACACGAGAAGAAAAAGUUUCACACCCAAAGAUCUCGGAUGUGAUCGGCUUCACUAUCAUCACUUCCUUCUGUGUUUCACACCCAGGAGGGAAUGUCUGUAAUAGUUAGGGUAGUUAAUUAUGUGUUUUGGCAUUUGAUACGCGAAGAAAUUUUAUGUGCAAACAAAUUCUUUUUCAUGCAUUUACUGAUUUUUUUUCCAGCUAAAUGACCCUGAAAUUAAAAAGCAUUUGAAAUGAACUCAUAAAAGGUUGAAAGUUGGCAUGGUAUCAUAAUUUCAUACAAAUAGCAUGUGCAAAAAAGUAGAGAGGGUUACGGCAAAAACUGGAUACACUUCGUGUACAAAAUGGACAAUCUUUUUCGAAGUAUCAGGGUUUCCGACGAAAACUGAAAUGUUACAAAGGCAUUUCAUUUUUUAAAUAACCUAAGCAUUACCAAAUUGAAUAUAUUGAUAAAACACACUAAUAUUAAACAUAAGAAAAAAGAAUCACUGGAAAAUCUUUUUCCAAAGUUAAGUUAUUCACAAACUAGUGAUUCACACAAAUUUCAAAUAAUUCAAAAUUUAAACUAUUCAAAUUUGAAAACUACCGGCACUAACAGAUCAAAGUUUGUAAAUUUUUGUACCUAAAGCAAAAAUAUUCACAAAGAAACUCUAAAUACAGCAAAAAACAACUCAAAAAUAAAUAAAACAAAUAAAAAAGCAAAAAAAGUUAAGAAAAUAAAAAAAGCCCGCCUACUGGGCCAAAGCGGCCUGCAUACGACUAGAAACUCAACCUUUUGCUGGGCCAAGAUGCAGGCCCGCAAAGGCCCAGUAGGCCCACAUGGCAGCAAUGAAUUGGUAGGCCCAGUAGGCCUGCUUAGGAGAGGAGCUCGAGAGAGCUACCGCACUGGGGCUUAUAAACCAGUGCGGUAGCCCUUCGACUAGCGAGGUGGGACUAAACUUGCCGCACCGCACUGCGCCAGCGCACCCCCUUUAGUACCGGGUGGUGGCACCAACCGGUACUAAAGGGGGGGCCUUUAGUACCGGUUGGAGCCACCACCCAGUACUAAAGGGGGUGCGCUUCCCGCCGCUUGGCCUGGCCAAAACAGACCUUUAGUACCGGUUGGUGGCUCCAACCGGUACUAAAGGUCCAUCCUAUAUAUACAACAUUUGAAAAAAUUCAGUUUCCCCCUGUUCUUCCCUCUGUUUCCUCCCUCCGUCGCGCAGCCCUGCCCCGAUCGUCGCCGCCCCCGCCCCUCGUCGCCGACCCCGGCCGUCCCCGCCCCUCGUCGCCGCCCCCGUCGACGUCGCCGCCCCGGCCGUCCCCGUCCCCGUCCCCGUCGUCCCUGUCGUCCCCGUCGCCGCGCCCCGCCCCGCCCCGUCGUCGCCGCCCCGUAUCGUCGCCCCGGCCGCCCCGCCCCAUCGUCNNNNNNNNNNNNNNNNNNNNNNNNNNNNNNNNNNNNNNNNNNNNNNNNNNNNNNNNNNNNNNNNNNNNNNNNNNNNNNNNNNNNNNNNNNNNNNNNNNNNNNNNNNNNNNNNNNNNNNNNNNNNNNNNNNNNNNNNNNNNNNNNNNNNNNNNNNNNNNNNNNNNNNNNNNNNNNNNNNNNNNNNNNNNNNNNNNNNNNNNNNNNNNNNNNNNNNNNNNNNNNNNNNNNNNNNNNNNNNNNNNNNNNNNNNNNACACACACACUACACACAUUAGUUUGUUUGUUAUAAAUUUUUCUGUUUUUUAGUUAUAGAAAUGUUAGAAAUUAUUCUGUUUUUUAGUUAUAUAAAUAUUAGAAAUGUUAGUUUUAUAGAAAUGUUAUAAAUGUUUUCUGUUUUUUAGUUAUAGAAAUAUUUAUAGAAAUGUUAGCAAUUUUUCUGUUUUUUAGUUAUAUAAAUAUUAGAAUUGUUAUGGAAAUGUUAGUUAUAUAAUCAUGAAAUUUUAGAAUUAGUUUUAGUUAGAUGAAUUAGAUUAAUGUCAAAUUGUUAGAAUUUGCAUAUAUAUAGAAUUUUAGUUAUCACAAUCCAAUCAUUUAAAAAAUGUUACUUUUUGCGGGCAUAUAGUAUUUGUUCUUGACGAUAUGCCCGGCCCGCAUCCUCGCCGUUGACCCGUUCGCGACGACGUCAUGCUUCAGGGGACCCAUGUCCGGGACUGGGCUCCACCGGGCUGGCACUGGGAGGUGCUACCUGAAGGGGCGCGCCGCUUGGUGAGGAACCCGACCUCGGGUCCCGUCGUCGACCCUGAUCUUCUUUGGUGGCGUUCGCGUGGGCCACAUUCGGUGCAGAGGCAGCCAGCCCCGCCGGAGGUGGUGCGUCGCCGUGUCAGGGAGGAAGAUGAGCACGUCCAUCGCUACAUGGCUGCUAUGGACGACGUCAGGUUCUCCACUACUUGGCAGGUUCUUUGGGCAGAUGACCGGAGAUAUGAUCCUGUGAUGGUUCCUUCUCUUUCGGUGUGCACCGCCCGCACCCCAGGAACCGCGAGUCGCGCCCUAGAUUCUUCUGUAGUACUCGAUCUUUAUUAGGUACCUAGCCAGUGAUGUAUUUGAUAUAUAGUAUUCGAGACGAUGUAUUCGAGAUUAUAUAUAUUAAGACGAUGAUGUAUUCGAGAUUAUAUAUUCGAGAGGAUGUAUUCGAGAUUCAGAUUUUCCUUAUUGAUUAAUUGCAUCCAUGCAUUGUAAUUUGAAUACUAAAUUGUUUUAUAUUUCUUCUGUAUUAUUAGUAAAGUAAAAGCUAUGGCGGACAAUACCGGCAGAGAGAGAGAAGAGGAAUUGUUCGACAUCAUACGCAGCCCUCACAGGCUAGAUGAUCUGAAUGAAGCAGAUGACGGCUCCCAAUAUCUUAACAAUACCGGAGGGGGUGAUGAAAAGAUAUUCGAUCUCGACGACCGGGCUGAUGAAGUCAUGAACUAUGAUUAUGAUUAUGACACACACAAUGUUUGUGAUGACACAGACAAUGCUGAUCUUCAAAUAACAAACACUACCGGCGAGGUAUAUUUAUAUAAGCAUGCAUCAUGAUGAUCAUCACAUGUUUUUUUAUUGAAGAUAUAUUAACGAAUCGAUCUUUCUUCUUUCAGCCCUCUGGAUCGAGCAAAUCUGCUUCUACAGACAGCAAGACAAAGCGAGGCCCGGGCAGAUUGUUGAAGGAUGGUGUAAAGUACCACAUCGAAUCCAUCAAACCUAGUGGCGAACCCCUCACGCCUAAGAACAUUGUGAACAAGUGGACUCGUCGGUGCGGAGUUCUUGUGAAGGACAAACUCCCGAUCUCCAUUCAAGAAUGGAAAGAGCCAAAGACUAAACGUCCAGGUGUUACUUGGGUCGAUGGCAGAGCCAAAGAAGACCUGGUGAAAUCUCUGAUGGAACAUUUCACCCUACCAGAUCAUUUCACUAAAGCAGAUGUGGACAAAGUCAAGGCCGCUGCUCUUAAGAAGAUGGCAAUUGCAUUCAACACCCACAAGAAAACUGUAUGGGCCAACUACCUCGCUAAUGAAAGGAAGACUCCGGAUUUCAAGGGAACACUGGAGAAGCAAAGAGAACAUUGGGACGAUUUCGUGACCUUCAAGGAUUCAGAAAUAUCUAAGGAACGGUCGAUGAAAAACAAGACAAAUGCCGCAAGAAAGACGCAGUUCCAUAGGCUGGGUCCAGGUGGCUACGCGGUGGCAUUGCCUAAGUGGGAUAAGUCUGAGCAAGAGAUGGAGGAUGCAGGGGUCACUCCGGUUACCCAGCACUGGCCCCCCAGGUGCAGAACUUGGUUCUAUGCGCAUGGGGGGGCGUUGGACCCGAAGACAGGCAUGGUUUCGAAGAAGGCAAGUCUAAAAGGAGCCGAACAAAAGAUAAUUGACGCAAUAGAAGAAGCUCGAGCGAGGGUGUUCACGCCCAACAGAGAGAACGACGAGCUUAUGCGCGCCCUGGGAAAUCCUGAACACCCGGGAAGAACACGAGGCAAGGGUGUUAUUCCCUGGUAUGAGGGCUUUUCAGACUGGAAUGACGACUACAGGUCUCGUGCAAGAAAGAAGACGGAGGAGGAGAAGAAGAGGAAGCUGGAGGAGGAGCAGAGGAAGCAGGACGCAGAACGUCUUCAAGGCCUAGAAGCAAGGCACGCGGACCUGGCACUCAAAUUCCAGCAGCAGCAGCAGCAGAUCGACUCACUUAGCCAGGAAAGGGGGUCUCAGCAGCGGCAGCAGCAAGCGGAUGAUCGUCCAGCAUUGGAUAGCACCAUCCCAUCCAUGUCGAGAAGCAGCGUUGGUUCUGCCCCGGGCGACACACUGCUGGAUACAUACCCUGUGGAUGACAUCAUAGAGAACACUAACUGUGAGCUACACUCCAAAAUGAAGAACAUAUCCAUGAAGGUGGCGGACGGCGUUGCUUUUCCAGUUACCCCCGAAGCAACCUACCAUUGCAUCCCGAUUCCAGAGGACUAUGCUCGUGUCAUGGUUGAUGAAGUGGUGGACCCAUAUUCGGGGCUAACGCUUGACAUUCCUGGAGGUGAAGACGAGGCCAUACAUCGUAUCAUCCUAUGGAGAAAGGAUUGCAUAAUAUUUCGAAGUCCACCGACACCGCGUCGUCUGCCGACUCCUCGAAGUCCGCCACCGAGUUAGCAGACUCCCGCUCCUCCAAGUCCACGAACGCGUGAGACGACUCCUCCUCGAAGUCCGCCACCUCCUCCAAGUCCCCGAACGCGCGAGCUGACUCCUCCGGUUUCAAGCCCGACACAGCGUCAUGCCACUUCUCCGGUUGCAAGUCCGGCACCGUGUCAGGCCACACCUCCUGCUUCAAGUCCGGCACAUCGUCAGGCCACUUCUCCUGGUCCAACUCCACGUCAGCCGUCUCCGCCGUCUCAGCAAUCGCAGAAGAGACAUCCUGCAGCUUUGGUGCGUAGCGGUACGAGUCAAGGUAGUUCAGGAAGUACAGGCGAAGGCAAGCGAUAUAAAUAUGGUCCAAGCCUCGCUCCUCUUCCUCAGAGGCCUUACGACAUGACUAAGGAGCAAAACACAGCCAUAGUGCAAGCCCAAGUGGACGCCCAUUUUGGACCGAAACCGGCACCGCCGCCAAAGGAGAAAGUGCCUGAGAAAAUGAUUGACCACUUCAUUCGUAUGGCUAGAGCACCAGCUCCCAAGCCUGUUGACUCAGACUAUGAGCGUCAAAUCAGGAAGCUACAUCGAGCACGGCUACGGAAGGAAGCGAGCUCAAGCUCGAGCCAACAAGCAGCUGGCAAAAAAUGCGGUAAAACCGUUCCCCAACUGGGAGAACAGGCUGCGCAAGAGAUCCCCCCGUUUGUUGUGCCAACAAAACAUGAGAGGAGUACGCGCGCCAAAUAUUAUUGUGGGCAAACCGUUAGCGUUCCCCAGCAGGGCGAUGUGGUAAUAACGGAGGAGCAUAUAAUGCAGGCUGAAAUGCUCAAGAUCUUUGUUGGACAACUCCUCGAAAUCGAGCCCAUGUCUCCGCUUAAAGAAUCAGAAAUAAAAUGGAAAUAUGCCUGGGGCCAACCUUUGGUCCAUCCAGACAAGGUCAAGGACCUCCCAACGAGAAUGUAUGAAUUGCAUCAAUGGUACAUGAACAUGACCAAGAUUUCCAAUCGAGUGUCCCUCAUGGUGAAUGUCAAGAAGGACCAUUAUUACCAUGAGAAAGCUCUGUCCAUUGAGUAUUCAGAACUAUAUCAGUUAUUCAAUCAAGAUGCACUCGACAAGUCUAUCGUCAGUUGCUAUUGUCUGUAAGUGAUUUCUUUCUGUAAUUUAAGUCUCAAGCUAGUUAUGUAGUGAUAAUUUUGAUCAAUCAUUACAUGUAAUUAUCCUCACUAUAUUCUUUUUCUGUGGUAUUAUAUGUAGGAUGAAGAUGUAUGAAAUGAAAAAAGCUGGACGCUAUGGCGUUGGGUUCAUUGACCCAAAUACCAUUAAUCAGGACAUAUGGGAGAUUGAACAUUGUAAAGCUGCUGUAGAGAAACGCAUGCUAGAGUUCUUGAAGCGCCUCAAUACCUUUGAAGAUAUACUACUUCCUUACAACUUCCCGUGAGUCACACUGUCUUGUACUACAAAUUCUGUUUUUGCUUACUAGCUAGCUAGAUGUUAAUAAUUAAGUGUAUACAGUUUACGAUAGUUGAUUAAUUUUAUGCACAUGCCCGCUUAAUUAAGACAUGCAAACGUGUGCGUAUGCAGUUGGCACUGGGUCUUGAUAGGCAUUAAAGUUGAGGAAGAAAAAGUUGAAUUACUGGACUCACUAACUAAAGAAAAUAAGACUACACCAUCGUGAAGGGGAUAGUCAACAGGUAAUUUCAAUCAUUAUUAACUAUUAGUUCCUGAUAUGAACUAUUUAAUAACCCAUUUAUUAAUUUUCUUUGCCGGCGGGCAGGGCAUGGGCAAAGUUCGUCGCGGUGACUCCAGGAGAAUGAAAAAAAAAAUUGUUUUGGCAUCGACUCAUAGUAAGUAAUUAAGUAGUACUAGCUAGCUACCAUCUCUUUAAUUAUUGUUUCAAUAUCAUUAAUUAAUUAUUAUGCUUGAUUAAUCAUUAUCUGAUUCAAUUCCAUUCUCGUAAAGGCCCUGAGGCAGGCGAAAGGGAAUAAUCUGUGUGCAUACUACGUUUGCGAGAACAUUCGCAUGAUGACGUGCGAAAGGAGCAGAUCUGAUAGACAUGACUGGGUACGUUUGUCAGAACACUAUUCACACCAUUAUCGAUAUCUAGUCACACAACUAACACACAUGCAUAUUAUUGAUUCAGAGAGGUGCGGGAUAAGCUCCUACCCCCCGAGCGCAUACAAGCACUUCAAGAGGAAAUUGCCGGAUUUUUGCUUGACCAGGUCAUAGAUCCGAAAGGAGAAUACUAUUACCCGCUACCGCCCCCAUGAACCACUUGUCAUCGUGCUCCGAAGGCUCCAAGGCAACAUGUAGUAGAAAUUGUAUAUGUAUAUACAUGUGUAUAUGUGUGAAUAGUUAAUGGUGUUGGUUGUGAGACAUUCGAUGAUAUUAUAUAUAUAUAUAUAUAUAUAUAUAUAUAUAUAUAUAUAUAUAUAUAUAUACGGUUCUACGUACGAGAAAAUCUAUUUAAUAUAUAUGCAUAACGUGUACAAUUUGUACUAUCGUGAAAUACCAACAAACAAAAAAGAAUUAAAUGGAAAAUAAAGCCAAAUUGAAAACACAAAAUUAAAGAAAAAAAAACACCCAAACAUUUAGUACCGGUUGGUGUUACCAACCGGUACUGAUGCCCUCCACGCAAAUGAGCCUGGCUCGUGCCACGUGGUGGCAGUUUAGCGCCGGUUCGUGACGAACCGGUACUAAAGGCCGGGGACCUUUAGUCCCCACUCUUUAGUGCCGGUUGGCGAACCGGCACUAAAGCCCGUUACGAACCGGCACUAAAGGUCGGUUCUGCACUAGUGCAUAUUCUAGACAUCCUAGAGACUCAUUCACAUCUGAUCUCGUGGUAGAUCACACUACUAGGGAAAACCUUAUACACAACAUCUUAGCAGUAGCGCUGGAUAAAAUGAGGCACUGCUGCUACUUAGUAGUAGCGCGUUUACGAAAAUAGCGCUACUGCUAUCACUUUAGCAGUAGCACGUACUAGGAAAACGCGCUGCUGCUAAACUUGAACUGGGCGCCACAUGGCUAGCCCCACUUAGCAGCAGUGCGUAUCGUAACCAGCGCUACUGCUAUGCUCCAUACUAGUAGCGCUUUUCUCGAACCCGCGCUAUUACUAACCCUAUCUUAUCGUCCCCAUGCAGCCGACCCCCUCACUCUCCCUCUCAGUCACUCUUCCCCCGCACGCCCCGUCGUUCGCCGUCGCCAUCGUCCGCGCGUCGCCGCCAUCGUCCGCCGCCACCGCCGCGUUUGCUCCUCCUCCACCAAGGUACUCCCUACAUCCGUCCUCCUCCCUCCUCCCCUCCCUCCUNNNNNNNNNNNNNNNNNNNNNNNNNNNNNNNNNNNNNNNNNNNNNNNNNNNNNNNNNNNNNNNNNNNNNNNNNNNNNNNNNNNNNNNNNNNNNNNNNNNNNNNNNNNNNNNNNNNNNNNNNNNNNNNNNNNNNNNNNNNNNNNNNNNNNNNNNNNNNNNNNNNNNNNNNNNNNNNNNNNNNNNNNNNNNNNNNNNNNNNNNNNNNNNNNNNNNNNNNNNNNNNNNNNNNNNNNNNNNNNNNNNNNNNNNNNNNNNNNNNNNNNNNNNNNNNNNNNNNNNNNNNNNNNNNNNNNNNNNNNNNNNNNNNNNNNNNNNNNNNNNNNNNNNNNNNNNNNNNNNNNNNNNNNNNNNNNNNNNNNNNNNNNNNNNNNNNNNNNNNNNNNNNNNNNNNNNNNNNNNNNNNNNNNNNNNNNNNNNNNNNNNNNNNNNNNNNNNNNNNNNNNNNNNNNNNNNNNNNNNNNNNNNACCGCCCUCCCCCCCUCCUCCUCUCUACAAUCAAUAAAAAGCAUGACGUAGGGUUUUAUCUCUUCGAGAUGCGCGAACCUGGGUAAACAUCGUGUCCUUGUGUCCUUGUUACCAUCUAGCGAAGACUACUAGAUCAGGACCCCCUACCCGAGAUCCGCGGGAUUUAGCUCUGACACAAUGUCACUAGUAGAAAAAGGGCCUAAUGUUCAGCUCAUUAGUCCUGGUUUGUAUUUGAGCCGGCACUAAUGUGACCAUUAGUGCCGGUUCCAACGGCUAGGUGGGCGGCGCUCAUUAGUACCGGUUCGUGCCACGAACCGGUACUAAAGACGUGGUGGCCUUUAGUAUGGGUUGGUGGCUCCAACCGGUAGUAAAGACCCCCCCUUUAGUACGGGUUCGUGCCACCAACCGGUAGUAAAGGGGUGCGCUGCCACCCGUUGUGCACAAUGUUUAGUCCCACCUCGCUAGUUGAGAGGAGCUCGCCCCGGUUUAUAAGCCUCGCCGCGGCUACCGUGUUGAGCUCCUCUCUAAGCAGGCCUUUGUGGGCCUAUUGCAAGUCUUCUGCCCUAUGGGGCCUACUGGGCCUGCAUCCUGGCCCAACUAGAUGUUGGGUUUCUAGUCGUAUGCAGGCCGUGCCGACCCAGUAGGUGGGCUGUUUUUUCUUUAUUUCAAAAAAAGUAUUAAAAAAAAUCCUUUAGUACCGAUUGGUGUUACCAACCGGUACUAAAGGGCUCCCCUCCCCCGGCGCUGGCUCGUGGGGACUAAAGGUCCCCCCCCCCUUAGUACCGGUUAUGCACGAAUUGCCGCUAAAGGGCCUUACGAACCGGUGCUAUAGCCCGGUUCUGCACUAGUGUGUAACUAAAAUAUAGUGUAAUCACUGCCUUGACAUUUCGGUUACAUUGUACAAACAAAAAUUACCUUGUCUUUAUUACUCCCUCCGGUCCUUUUUAGUUCGCAUAUUAGAUUUGUCUGAAGUCAAGCCUCGUAAAGUUUGACCAACUUUAUAGAAAAAAAUACCAACAUUCACAAUGUGAAAUCAAUACUAGUAGAUGCGUCAUGACUUAAAGUUUCAUGUUGUAUAACUUUAUCAUGGUAGACGUUGAUAUUUUUUUAUAUAAAUAUGGUCAAACUUUGUAAAGUUUGACUUCAGACAAUUCUUAUAUGCAGAGUAAAAAGAACCGGAGGGAGUACAUCAAUUGUUGUUUAUGUAAUCUACAUGCAACAAAGACAAAAAUAUAGACCUUCUCCCAUGACAUAAUGAACCUUAAUGCAACACACUACAAUAGCUUCACUUCACAUAACUAGCCACACUUUUAAUAUGUGUACUAGAUCAUUGAAGGCGUUGCUGCGCCAGUUAAUUUUGGCACUUUAAUAUUAGUGACUGAUACAACUAUAUGGAGUGAUAGUAGUAUUUUUUAACCUACUUGUUGACACCGUUACCCCUAAAAAAACCUGUCAGACGCUGUUGGUUCUCUGUACUGUUGUUUGUAUACCUUAAUUAAUACUUUUCACAUAUGAAUAAUCAUGUCCAUUGACCAGAAAUUUUACACCAUUAAUUCAUUCAAUGGCAUGAGUUGCUGAUUUCUUUUACAUGAGAAAUUUUAGUUAUUGAGGGAAGCCUAAUUGUUUCCGAAUCAAGAAAAUUACUUAUAGAUGAAAAACCAUUCACUACCAGAAACCGUAAUAUUUCUGUGAGUCGACUAAUUUUCCUGUCGGGCCCGCGACUAGCCCACAGGAAAAACAAUUCGGCUGUCGGUCGACUCCUGGACGCCAGGGAUAUGUCUAAUAUUCCUGUGGGCUGAGUAAGUACCGACAGGAAUAUAAUUUUCGGCCCACCCGCGAAACACUAGGCCGCGAAAAAUUCAGCCGCGCGCAUCUGGAAACUACGCCCCGCCAUGGAGCCCUCUUUUCGCGCCUGUCAUCGCGCACGCCCAAAUCCAAUCCCCCCAGAUCUCCUUAUCCUUUCCUUCUGCGCCGCCCAAUCCCUCUGCUUUUGAGGCCUCCGACCACCAUCCCUCCAUGGCUCCCCGCCUUCCAAGGUCACACGAGCGCCUCAACCUGCACUCUAUGAUGUGGAUCUGUACCCGCCGGCCACCACCAUCCAUGGCUCCUCCGCUACUGGGACACGGCGUCGUCCCAUCUCCGUUCUGGAUAUCACCAUGCGACACCAACGCUUGUCCUCCUCCUGCACCAUGGCCCUGCUCAGACCACGCCGCCAUCGAUGCCACCGUUGAGAAUCCACCCCAACUCGAGCAGUUCACCGGCGUCAUGGAGGUACGUGACCUAAAUCUCAAAACUCUGUUGUUUCCUGUUUCUGGCAUCUCCGGAUCCCCAAAUCUGGUGCAGCUCUAGGAAUGCCCAAAUCCGGCCUCAGAUCCGAUCUAUAGAGCUGUAGUUUAGAUGCAUAAUAAUCACCAAAACUGGUGCAGCUCCUUGGAUCCCAAAUCUCGAUCUGAAUUUCAGUUAUUUCUUUGAGAAAUUUGCAACCAUUUAUUUCUGCCUUAUUUCUUAAAUUAGUUUGGAGGCAACAACACGUAGCCACAUGAUUUAAAAAUUUACUAAGACUAGGUGGGAUACUUGGGGUGUACUCGGGGAGUUUCAAUUAGUACUUUGGAUACAACUGUACCUAUUCAAAAUGCAUGUAAUAUUGUUUCAGACUAAAUGAUAAUUUUCUUUCUAUUUCAGUGAGUUUUUUUCAUUAACUUACUGCACAAUAGCAUAAUAAUUCAAUCUCUAUUUUUUCUGUCCAUACAUUUUGAUUUUACUUGCUUUAAAUAUGUUGACAUUCAGGAAGCGCUAAGCAGCUGCAUUGCAAAUAUGAGGAACAUCAUCCGUGCAAGAAGUUCAGAUUCACUCGACGGCAAGAAAUAGUGUCAUAUUUUUCUUCCAAAUAGUAUGUACCAUUCCCCACAUUGAUACUUAUGAUCACCCAUUUGAUAUCUCCUUUUCCUAGUUACAGUUCAUCCAGGUCAGGAGUAGGAUUUAAGGUUCAUGAUCCAACUAUAAGAGACGUGUAAAAUCCUUUGCCCUUGACAUGGUAUGGUACAUUCUGCUAUUUCCCUACCUGUCUCCAAAUUCAUGUAUUGAUUAAUUUUGAUUCAAGUUUUCUAUCUUGCAAGAUCAUGCUAUCUUCAAUAUGCUCAAGAACAUCUGAAAUGCACCUAGACAUUAUAUUUCAGAGUAUUGACAAUGAAACUGUACCAGGAAAGGAUUAUUACCAGCAGCUUUGCUCAAGAUAUGAAUGCUCUGUUAUAACAAUGAACAAGCCAGGGAUACGUUCAGGGGCUCCUAUCAUGGGCCAUACUAUAUGUCAUCUUAAUUUAGUUACUCCUUUUACUACUUGCUUCUUGGAAUUUCCUAUUCUCUUGUUAUCCUCCCUCCGUUCCGAAUUACUUGUCAUAGAAAUGGAUGUAUCUAGACAUUUUUUCCAUUUCUACGACAAGUAAUUCUGAACGGAGGGAGUAGUACUUAACAGUUCUAGUGUAUUCCUCAUAUUUAAGCUCACCGUGUUCUUCCUUCUCCCUUAAGUUGUAUUUGGUUUUUCUUUCUUAUAUUAAAGAUUGAACAAUUGCAGUGCAAGCACACAAUUGGAUGUUCCUGCUAGAGAAGGUGCGCAAUCUUGCUGAGUGUAAUUUUACAUUGCUGGAACUAGAUGAUUGUAGCUCUUAGUUGUAGAAGGUGGAUGCAAGUGUCUGGGUGCGAUGACCCAUAGAUAUUGCAUUGCUCUGAAAAUUAUCAGUACAUUGCAUAGAUGAAUGGAUGUCACUCCUUACAUUAUUGUUUUGAACUUCUGUACUAACUUACUGACGCAUCAAGUAACAACUAUCCUCUGUUUGUGGUCACCCCUUUGCCUAGUAACUUAUUUCCUUAUGAUUUUUUGAUUGUCUUACUAUCCAGUACAGUAACAAUUUGCUCCCUAACUUGUUUGUCCAUACCUUAUCAUUUUAGUCUCUUUCAUUAUGUUAGGUUUUUGGGAAGAAUUAAACGAACAUCAUCAGUGCAACAUAGAGGCUGAAGCAGGUGGUUGAGGUAUCACUCAAUUUCAAGAAAUUGAAUAAGAUUCUUCCAAGUGAAACGGCACUAUUCCCUUUCAUAUUUUGUUCUAUGCACAUGAACCUAGAAAUUAAAUAUUGAUCAACACCUGAUGGAGGACUUGUUUUUCUAGUUCGCAAUUCAUUCUUAUUAGGAACAAAAUUCAAGAUCACGUAUCUGUGAGAUAUGCAAGAGCCUCUAAUCAAGGUAUUUUUACUUUUGCCUUCACCAUCAUCCCCAAAGUUUUAUCAGGAAUAAUUGUUAGUCAAGUUUUCUCUUGUAUAUUUGAAAUAUAUCAUGCUAUAUCCAGUGUGCCCAAGAGCAUGAGAUCAACAUUAUUGAGCCAGUAGUUGCUAUGUUGGUUUAGUCUAAACACAACCUCUUUGUAUUUCUUUGGGGUCUUUUAUUGUCUCACCAUGAUGUGCAGUUCUCAUGCUGUUACAUUAUGGAAUAAUUGCAUAACGUCGGCUUUUUUAGUCUUAUGGAGAUGAUGAUGUCUCUGCCCAUUUUUCUUGAACAUUUGAAAUGGAUAGACUUAAGAGUAUUGACAUUGGUAGUGUGAUUUCUUGCAAGAAGUCUCUAAUGUGCUCAGGAAGUUAGCUGAUAAUUAUGUCAAACUAAUCCAGAAGCAUGUUCUCAGGCUGUCAUUUAAAUGGAUUUUGUCAGCUGCAUGAUUUGUAUCAAAUCUGCGAUAUGAUGCUAGAACAAAUUACUUCAUUAUUAGUCUAUGAGCUGUAAAAGUGGGUAACUUUGCUGAGACAAAAACAAGUUGGGUAGAUAUGCCAAUGUUAUUGCGAGAAACCGAGAUACCAAAUAGGUUAUGCUCAUUAUAUCUGAUACAUAUUGUUCCUGUUUCUUGUUUCCUUUUUGUAGCAAACUGUUGACACUUGCACAUUUUUACAAGUUCUAUUAAAUGUCCACUGCAGGGUAACCUUGAAGGGAAGAUUGCAACUUAAGCUGCAACUAAAGAUUAUAGAAAAUGAGGUCUCUCUUGUGUAUAUUUAGUUGAUGCACUUGUGUGUUUUUAGAUGUUGCACCUCUGUUUCCAUUGACCUUCGAUUCAUGUACGUAAAUUCUAUGGAACUGUAUCCGAAGACAUGUGAAUUUGUAUCUCUGGUUGAUGGAAACAAUUGAUAGUGAUGUUUCUAUGUUAUAAAUAUUCUGAGUUAUGGAAUAGUUAUGUAUAAAACCAUUGAUAUUUUUUUUGUUUUUUUGGUUUCUUCUUUUUCUGACGGUUAUGUAUGACAGGGAUAUACUAUUUCCCUGGUUUGCCAAAUCUGACGCCUAUAUAACCCUGUAGGGCCAAACCCGUCAGGGAAAUGAGAAAACCCGACAGGAAUAUAGUUCCUGUCGGUUGGCCGACAGGCAUGGUUUAUUUUCCCCGUCAAGCUAUCCCUGACGGCUAACCCUGACGGGUGGCCGACAGGAAAUACUUUCCCUGUCGGUACAUCCUAUUUUCCUGUCGGUUCGGGGCUCACAGAAAAAUAUCAGUUUCUGGUAGUGAUUUAGCAUUUUUUGUCAGAAAUACGUCAUUGGACAAGGCAAAUGCUAAAUUGUAUGAGGAGUUUUGGACGUUUGUCGGAAAUAAAAUGAGGUUAGGACGGCUAGCCUUUUUUUCAUUUGGUUGGCCCAGAUACAUAUAUUUGGUGUUGUCCUGUGGAUUUCUUUUUCCAUUUCAUGUUCGUGAACUAAUAGAAAAUCCCAUGUUCGUAGAUUUGUGGUUGGGCGGUACUCUGUGCCGGUUUACCGGCCCAAAUUUAGGCCGGUCCGCUGCUGAGCCUUGGAUACGUACGCGUGAAUGGACGAGAUUGCCGCGACCAAGUUAUCUUCUUCCUCCCGCACGCACGCGUAAACACAGAAAAAAAAAGGAUCUCCGCGGGUCAGCCCCCUCGUCCUCGCCCUUGGCCGCCGCGUCGCAGCUCGCCGUCGCAGCUCAUCGGGGGCACUCGCCGUAUGCAGCUCCGCCGGGCCGGUCGAAAGAAAGACGUCCCUAGCUCCGCCGGGCUGGGCGUGUCUCCCUCCCUCUGGUUGCAGCACCGCCGGGUGAGGGUUCCAGCAUUGUCGCAGCCCGCCGUCAUAGCUUGCCGCGCGCCCGUCGCAGCACCGCGCGCCAUGCAGCUCCGUCACCGCCGCUCGCCAUUGUUAGCUGGUCGUUCUCGGUUUGAAGCUUUUUUAGAAGCGCGUUGUAGCUUUCCUCCACGCCCAGUUGCAGCUUUUUGCCGCUGCGCGAUGCCGACCUCCAGCUAUCCCAUAUGUAGUUGAAGCUUUUUUCAAAGCUGGUUGUAGCUUUCAUGGUUGCCGGAAGUAUCAUUUUUCAGCAUUGGUUGUAGCUUUGACAUACAUCCAUCAAAGCCCCUGCUUCCUUUGAUUCCAGCAAAAUAUGUUGUUGGUUCCCGCUCUCGAAUUGCUGGUUGUAGCAAAAACAAAAGCUGGUUCCAGCUCUGGCUUUGUCGGGACAAAAAUCGUUUGCUGGAAAAGCCAUUGCUGGUCGCUGCUUGCGCCGGUCGCCGUGGUAGCAAAAAAUCUUGCUGGUAGAAGCUUUUGCCUCUUCGUUUGCAACAAAAUGAGAAGCUUGCCUCGUCGUUUCCAGCUUUUGCGACGCCGGUUCCAGCAAAUAUGGUCGCCGGUUGCAGCAGUUCACGACGCCGGUUUCAGCAAUUCCGUCGAUUGUUCCAGCACCGACGCCUACUGAUUAGAGCAUUAACGCAUGCCGGUUCCAGCACUUCCGGCGGCCGGUUCCAGCAUUUUGCCACGCUGGGUUCUAGCAAAAUGUCGUCGACCGCAGCUUGCGUGGAGCGCAGGUCGCAGCUCCAUGGAGCCUCCAGUGAGUGGCAGCCGCGGCCAUCAUAGGGCGGGAAAAAGGGCAAAAAGGGGUGAGUGGUGGUCAUGGCCGGUCGGCAACUCAUGUCGCCGGUGGUAGCGGCCAGGCAAACUACAGAGUGCAGAGGAGAGAGGAGGGAGAAGACAAGUUCGCGUACAGAGAGAUUCGGCACCGUGGGCAAGGAAAACGAGUGGUUCGCAUCGAUCCUGAACAGAUAAGGUGGAGAGGAGGUGACCCACGUGAGAUCCAUGUGCGUGGUGGGGCGUCCGCGACCGGCCGAAGCUUCGGUCGAUCGGCCGGCUCCAAACAUUUACCUUUGUGGUUUUAGUGGUGUCUAUUCGGCGGUGCGGCGUAGUUGUCUUCUUCUAUGGACCAGUUCGCUCACCCACGAGUCGCGAGAGAUGUCUGGCAUUAAGCGAGACGGCGAAAUCACUAGUUAAGGAGUACUCCUUGCGGAGAUCGCUCCAACUUCCCCAGGUUGCGACAAGUGGCGCAUUGCAUGUGCGCCAUUUGUCGCAACCUGGGAGUUUUCCCUUUUCUCAUAGAUUCGUUUAUUCAAAACAUUUUAUCUCUUAAACCGUGCGUCCAAAUCUCGAACCGCUUUCGCCAUUAGAUUCCUCGCGUUGAGAUCAAUAAAACUAGAGCCCAUGUUGAUAGGUUUUGACGAAAAAAAAAUUCACGAAAACACCAGACGAAAAAAACCGACGAAAAAUCCGAACCAGGAACACGGGUUUUUCCCUUUUCCGAAAGAGGUACGCCCGUGCCUCUGACGAAAUCACAACCGUGCCUCUCGCGGAAGCCAAAAAAAAUAGAAAACGUGUUUUUUCCCUUUCCCAAAGAGGCACGCCGUGCCUCUCGCGGAAGCGGAACCGUGCCUCUCGCGAAAGAAAAAAAACAGAAAACGUGUUUUUCCCUUUCCGAAAGAGGCACGCCCGUGCCUCUCGCGAAAGCGCAACCGUGCCUCUUGCGGAAGUAAAACCGUGCCUCUCGCGAAAGAAAAAAAAACAGAAAUGCGUUUUUUCCCUUUCCGAAAGAGGCACGCCCGUGCCUCUGGCGAACGCACAACCGUGCCUCUCGCUGAAGCAAAAUCGUGCCUCUCACGAAAGAAAAAAAAACAGAAAACACGUUUUUUUUGUUUCCAAGAGGCACGGCCGUGUGCCUCUUGCGAAAACAAAACCGUGACUCUUGCGAAAAAAAUGCGUUCUUUCACGCAAAAAAUAUAUUUUUUUUUGAAAAAAAAAUUGGUCGAAAAGCUAGGGAAGACCGGUAGGAAACCAAAACGUCAAAAAAACCCGGAAAAAAACCCGUUUAAAAAGACGAAAACGCGUGCGGAAAAAUAAAAAAAAAACAAAAUCCGGAGGGAGCGCUCAGAGCACGACACGUGGCAAAUGGCUGAGAGCGCGCCAAAUACCGCUGAUCGUUGCGAGGCUCCCAAAGGAGCGCUCGUUAAUUAGUUGCUCCCGCGAGACGGUAGCUGCUGUCGCUGGAUCUUAUUCGUCUCGUGUAGCAACUGGGCCGGCCCACUUAAUAAAAGAAAAGGUAGAGAAAAAGCGAGCACAAGCGGGGUUUGAACGGGAGCUCCUAUUGGACGCUCUUUGCGUCAAACUGGCGUCGCUACGCACAGCGGGGCAGCCUAAAUGGGCCGGCCCAUCGCGCUGUAUCACUGGAAGUAAAACAAAUCAGAAAGAGAGGGGGACGUUGGGAGGAAUCGAACCUGAAACCACUAGCUAGAAUGAGCGUGCUUCCAACCACUCCAACGGACUAGCGUUCUUUGCACCAUAACAUCCCGCAUACGUAAUAACAGGACUGGACUGCUGUGUCGAACCGAAUUAGUUGUUGUGGUGAAAAACUUUUUGAACAUACAAUUAAACAAACAAAUUUUGAAUCCCAAAUAUUUUAGGAAUUUGCGACAUUUUUUAAAGCACAAACAUUUUAUGAAUCUUUAGAGCAAAUUUUGAAACGGAGAACAAAUUUGGAAGCACGAACAAUUUUUUAAAGCACAAAUAUUUUUUGAAUUUUGAGAACAAAUUUUGAAACGGAGAACAAAUUUGGAUGCGCGAACAAUUUAUUAAAGCACGAACAUUUUUUGAAUCUUUAAACAAAUAUUGAAACGAAAAAUAACUUAAUUUUUUAAAACACGAACAUUUUUUGAAUCUUGAGAACAAAUUUUAAAAUGGAGAACAAUUUUUGAAAUUUGUGAACAAUUUUUUUGGAAUUGGUGAACAAAAUUUUUAAAUGGGGACAACUUUUUAAAUUCAGAACAAUUUUUUUAACUGAGAAUAAUUUUGAAAAGGUGAACAUUUUUUAUAUACAUGACCAAACAGUUGAAACGGAAACUUUUUUCUAGUGCUUCGAACAUUUUUUGAAAGUGCGAACAUUUUUUAUAUAGGUGAACAUUUUUCAGCUGCGUAAACUGAACAUGAUUUACAAAAUAAGAACAUUUUUUGAAAAAUUUGAAAAACAAGAACAUUUUCUAAUACAUGAACAAAAAUUUAAAAAAUAAGAACAUUUUUUGAAAUUUGUGAACAAUUUUUGAAAACAGGCAUUUUUUCAAAUCCAUGCCAUUAUUUUUCAAAUUUCUCAAAAAAUGAACAAAAAUAAUUUGAACAAUUUUUGAAAAAACAGGAAUAUUUUCUGAAAAUUCGGAACAAAUAUUUGAAAGCAGGAAUUUUUUUUGAAUUUAUGAACAAAUUUUGUAAAAUGGGAACAUUUUUCGAAUUCUUGAACAAAAUCUGAAAAACAGGAAAAAAAAUUGAAAUUCUUUUGUUAAAAUAAACUUGAAAAGAAAAAAAAGAAACAGAAAAAAAGAAAAAAGAAAAAGAAGAGAAAUAGAAAAAUGAAAAAUGAAAAAGAAACUGAAAAAGAAAAAGCCGGUUCAGGAACCGUCUAGAAGGUUCCCAAAACCUGAAAAAACCGGCUGGAAACAUCAUAGAAGGUUCCCAAAACCGGGGUCUGCUGUAACGCUAAACGGGCCGGCCCACUCGGUCGCUCCCUCUCACCUGCCUGUGCGAAGCGUCGACUACUUGCCCCAAUGAGCGGCAAGUAGGAUUUUCCGGUUUGAACCACCAUUUCCUAUUUGGCGCUCUCUGCGCCCGUUAAAGGCUAUUGUACUAACCGCGCAUACCCUCCUCUGGCCUGGGCUUGGCCCGUUUAUGUUGUUCUUCCGUUUCGAUCCUUGAGCCUCAGGACACCUCAAGCGACGCGAUUACUUAUUUUCUCUAAUUCCUUUUGUGCUGCGUGAACUUGUAAUAACACUAAAGAUUGGAAUCUGUUUUUUUUUCAUUUUCUUUGGCCGGUUUUUACAAUGUUAUUUAAUUUUUUUGUUUCCUUUUUCUUUUUCUUUUUUUCUUAAAUGCAUGAACUUUUCAUUUUUCACGAACUUUUCUCAAAUCCACAAUUAUAUUUUCAGUUUUUGUCUAACAUUCUGGUGAACUUUUCGAAAAGAAAUGAACUUUUUUCAAAUUGAUGAGUUUUUUUCAAUAUCUAUGAACUUUUUUUCCCAAAUUCGAUGAACUUUUCUCAAAUUUAAUGAAUUUUUUCUCAAAUUCAAUGAACUUUUUCAAAUUGAUGAACUUAUUUUAAAUUCGAUGAACUGUUCUCAAAGUUGAUGAACUUUUCUGUAGUUGAUAAACUUUUUUCAAAUUUGAUGAACAAAAUCGAUGAACGCUUGUCCAAAUUGACGAACUUUCUUUCAAAAUCGUUGAACUUUUUUUAAAUCGAUGAACUUUUCUCAAAUUUGUAUACUUUUCUCAAAUUUGAUGAAUUUUUUUCAAAUUUGGUGAACUUUUUUUCAACUUUGAUGAACUUCUUUCGACUCCGAUGCACUUUUUUUCAAAUAUUGAUGAACAUUUUCAAAUUUGGUGAACUUUUUUCAAAUUCAAUGAACUUUUUUCUAAACUGAUGAACUUAUUUUUCAAAUUCAAUGAACUUUUUUCAAAACUGAUGAACUUAUUUUUCAUAUUCAAUGAACUUUUUUCGAAAUUCGAUGAACUAAUUUCAUAUUUUAUGAACUCUUUUCAAAUUCUAUGAACUUUUUUCCAAAUUAAACGAACUUUUUUCAAAAUUUAUGAAAAAUUGUUCAUAUUCGUGAACUCUUUUUGAAGUUUUUGAACUUUUUUUUCGCGAACAUCUUUUUGAGUUCACAUUUUUUUGUGAUUUCUUUGGUUUUUCAAAAGACUAUGAAAAAAUGGCUGCUUUUUUUUUGACCCACUAUUUAAAGAAUCUGAAAAAGCGACCAAGCGCGUGAAAUGGGUUCGCAUGCUGGCAUCCCCGCGUGAGCGCCAUAACCUUAGGUUACCAAAAAAAAGAAACCUGAGUUCAUUUUAUUUCUUACCAUAAACCUCAGUUUGUUUUAUUACUUACUAUACGGACGAAAAAAAUUCAGAAAAGUCAGUACAAAAAUACCUCAACCGCACAAAGAACAAAAAAAAACAUUCAUAACACUUCAGCCGCACGAACGAACGUACUUCUACGUGUUCGCGCACGAACAUAAGAAGCAGUCGAAACAAAGAAGAGAAACAGUCAUAACUGGGCUUCCUAGAAACCAGCCCAACAAGAGAACGCGUAGGCGCCCGAACUUCUAUCGGGCGCUGAAGGCGCCGACGAGGAGCUCUCGUUUGAACCUGGGUCUCUUGGAUGGGAGCUAGCUAGCGACGCUAGCUACAACCAUUGGACCCCUAAAAAAACCUACAGCCAUUGGGUCUGGUUCGUGACUAACUGUAGGGUGCGACCUCCUUUAAUGUAAAAGAGCCGAUUUUCUUCACCGUGUCUCGGUUUUAUUAUCUUUUUGCAGUUGAUAUUUUAUUUUAUUUUCUUUUUUAUUCUCCAAUUUUUUAUUCCUUUUUCAUCAUUUCUGCAUUUUUUCUUUGUUUUUUAUUUUUCAUUUGGUAUUUUUUUGGGUUUUCUUUGUUUCUUUGGUUGUUCAUUCAAAAAAUUUGGUAUAUGUAAUUUUUUUUCUAAUACACAUUUACAAUUUUUUCAAUACAAAUUUAACAUUUUUUAAUAUAUGGUCAACAUUGUUUCCUUACACAUUUAUAUAUUUUUCAAAUUCUUGAUUAAAAAAAUUCAUAUACGAGAUUAACAUUUUUUGUCAACAUUUUUUCAAUGCUUGAUUAACAAUUUUCAUACAAAAAAAUGAACAUUUUCCAAUACAUGGUCAACAUUUGCUCUAUACACGUUUAACAUUUUCCAAAUGCUUGAUUCACAUUAUUUAAAGAUGUUUAAAUUUUUUUAAGAUACUUGAUUAACAUUUUUAUAUACAUGAUCAAUUUUUUCCAGUCUUUUAAUAUAUGCUCCACAUUUUUCCUAUACAUAUUUAACAUUUCCCAAAUGUUUGACUAACAUUUUUCAACUACUUGUUCAUUAUUUUUUCUAAUUAUUGAUUAUUUUUUUAUAUACAUGAUAAAUAAUCAUAAUUUUGUAAUAGAUAAUCAACAAUUUCCUACACAUGUUCGACAUUUGAUGAAUGCUUCGUUAACAUUUUUCAAAUACGUGUUCAACAUUUUUCAAAUACUUGUUCAAUAUUUUCCAAUUGCUUGAUUAACAUUUUUUUAAAUACUUGUUCAACAUUUUUCAAAUGCUCGUUCAAAAAAUUUCAAAUACUUGUUCAACUUUUUCCGAAUGCUUGAUUAACAGUUUUCAAAACUUGUUCAACAUUUUAAAUGUUCUUUGUAGAGUUUUUUGUAAUAUAUAUAUCUAGAAUAUGUGAAUGUACAAACGGAAGUGCAAAAAUAAAGCAAAAAAUGAAAACAAAAAACUUAAAAAACAGAAAAAGUGGUCUCCUGCACGNNNNNNNNNNNNNNNNNNNNNNNNNNNNNNNNNNNNNNNNNNNNNNNNNNNNNNNNNNNNNNNNNNNNNNNNNNNNNNNNNNNNNNNNNNNNNNNNNNNNNNNNNNNNNNNNNNNNNNNNNNNNNNNNNNNNNNNNNNNNNNNNNNNNNNNNNNNNNNNNNNNNNNNNNNNNNNNNNNNNNNNNNNNNNNNNNNNNNNNNNNNNNNNNNNNNNNNNNNNNNNNNNNNNNNNNNNNNNNNNNNNNNNNNNNNNNNNNNNNNNNNNNNNNNNNNNNNNNNNNNNNNNNNNNNNNNNNNNNNNNNNNNNNNNNNNNNNNNNNNNNNNNNNNNNNNNNNNNNNNNNNNNNNNNNNNNNACACAGUAAUUUCAAAAAAUUUCCUACGCAUACGCAAGAUCUAUCAUGGUGAUGCAUAACAACGGAAGGGGAGAGUGUAGUCCACGUACCCUCGUAGACCGUAAACGGAAGCGUUAUGACAACGCGGUUGAUGUAGUCGUACGUCUUAACGAUCCGAUCGAUCCUAGUAUUGAAAGUAAGGCACCUCCGCGAUUUGGACAUGUUCGGCUCGGUGACGUCCCACGAACUCUCGAUCCAGCUGAGUGUCGAGGGAGACCUUCGUCAGCACGACAGCGUGAUGACGGUGAUGAUGAAGCUACCGGCGCUAGGCUUCGCCUAAGCACUGCAACGAUAUGACCGAGGUGGAUUAUGGUGGAGGGGGGCACCGCACACGGCUAAGAGAUCAAUGAUCAACUUGUGUGUCUGUGGGGUGCCCCCCUCCCCCAUAUAUAAAGGAGUGGAGGAGGGGGAGGGCCGGCCCUCUAUGGCGCGCCCUGGAGGAUUCCUACUCCCACCGGGAGUAGGAUUCCCCCCUUCCCUAGUUGGACAAGGAGAGAAGGAAGGGGGAGAGAGGGAGGAAGGAAAGGGGAGCGCCGCCCCCCUUCCUAGUCCAAUUCAGACCAGAGGGGGAGGGGGCGCAUGGCCUGCCCUGGUUGCCCCUCUCUCUCUCUCCACUAAAGCCCAUUAGGGCCCAUAUACUCCCCGGGGGGUUCCGGUAACCCCCCGGUACUCCGAUAUAUGCCUGAACUCACUCGAAAUCCGAUGUCCAAACAUAGUCAUCCAAUAUAUCAAUCUUUCUGUCUCAACCAUUUCGAGACUCCUCGUCAUGUCCGUGAUCAUAUCCGAGACUCCGAACUACCUUCGAUACAUCAAAUCACAUAAACUCAUAAUACCGAUCGUCACCAAACGUUAAGCGUGCGGACCCUAUGGGUUCGAGAACUAUGUACAUGACCGAGACUCAUCUGUGGUCAAUAACCAAUAGCGGAACCUGGAUGAUCAUAUUGGUUCCUACAUAUUCUACGAAGAUCUUUAUCGGUCAAACCGCAUAACAACAUACGUUGUUGCCUUUGUUAUCGGUAUGUUACUUGCCCGAGAUUCGAUCGUCGGUAUCAUCAUACCUAGUUCAAUCUCGUUACCGGCAAGUCUCUUUACUUGUUCCAUAAUGCAUCAUUCCGUAACUAACUCAUUAGUCACACUGCUUGCAAGGCUUAUAGUGAUGUGCAUUACCGAGAGGGCCCAGAGAUACCUCUCCGAAAAUCGGAGUAACAAAUCCUAAUCUCGAUCUAUGCCAACUCAACAAACACCAUCGGAGACACCUGUAGGUAUAAGUGUUCUCCCUAAGAGAUCAUCUUAUAAUGCUACCGUCAAUCAAAGAAAAUAAGAUGCAUAAAGGAUAAACAUCACAUGCAAUCAAUAUAAGUGAUAUGAUAUGGCCAUCAUCAUCUUGUGCCUUUGAUCUCCAUCUCCAAAGCACCACAUGAUCACCAUCGUCACCGGCGCGACACCUUGAUCUCCAUCGUAGCAUCUUGUCGUCUCGCCAACUAUUGCUUCUACGACUAUCGCUACCGCUUAGUGAUAAAGUAAAAACAAUUACAUGACGAUUGCAUUUCAUACAAUAAAGCGACAACCAUAUGGCUCCUGCCAGUUGCCGAUAACUCUGUUAGAAACAUGAUUAUCUCAUACAAUAAAAUUUAGCAUCAUGUCUUGACCAUAUCACAUCACAACAUGCCCUGCAAAAACAAGUUAGACGUCCUCUACUUUGUUGUUGCAAGUUUUACGUGGCUGCUACGGGCUGAGCAAGAACCGUUCUUACCUAUGCAUCAAAAACCACAACGAUUUUUCGUCAAGUGUGCUAUUUUAACCUUCAACAAGGACCGGGCGUAGUCACACUCGGUUCAACUAAAGUUGGAGAAACUAACUGUCGGGGGUUGGGUGCGACAUAUGCCAAAGGAUGGCUUAUCAUGGUGGGGGCGGGUAGAACGUCGCCGGUGCCUGGAAAAGGGAUGAGGCGAAGGCAUGCACGCCGACGGAUCUUACCCAGCUUCAGGGCUCUCCGUCGAGAUAAUACCCCUACUGCUGCUCUGUGGGGUCUCCGCAUGAUCACUAUGACAAAGUGGGUACAAGGCUGCUCCUUGAGCUGUUUGAGGUGAGGAAGGAGAAGGGCACGGCUAGCUCUUCUCUUCCCUCUAUGUGUGUCUAAAACCAUUAGGGUCCAACCUCUUGCAUGGGUGCCCCGGGGGGUUUAUAUAGGCCUAACCCCCGGGGGCACAAUGGUAAUCCGGCUGGGCGCGGGUCCCAGCCGUCUGUCUCUUAGGUCGCCGUCUUAUCCGCCGACAGCUGGGGCCCGCCGACUAGCGGGCCCCGCCAACGGGCCCAACAUGGGGCCGACAGGCCUUGUCCGCCGCGGGCGGGUCUUGCCGGCAGCGGAUUACUGUAGCCGCGCUUCUGAUGAUGCUGGCUUGGUCGUGGGGUCAUGGCAACAGUGCCGCCGCCUGACGGGUGAUCACUGUCGCCACUCCCUGUCUUGUCUGGUUAAUGGCAUGCGGGACUCGUGGGAGAGGUCGGCCGACUCCUGGGGGCCGACUCCCAACGGGUCCGUCUUGUGGCGCUCUCGCCGUCUUCUGCACCCCCGCCGAUAGGCGGGUCCCCCAUCUCUGGGUCGUUCAGACAGGCCGUCGUGGGCACAGGGGUCUGCCCACAGGGCUGAUGUCAGGGUCGGCGUGGCUACAGUGCGGCGGCCGUGGCCAUGCCUGCCCUUCGUGAACGGGGUAGGGAGGGGCCGCGCGGCGGCCGUACCCCAUCCCAUCCGUAGUUGUGUAGGCCGGAGGUGGUUGGAGUCGCGGGCCGACUCCCCAUAGCCGGCUUCUCUGGAAGUCGCCAGUUGGGAGUCGCCUUAUCUCAAGGCCGUCUCUGGGACUCGGCCGUGAGGGGCAGUCAGCGGCUCUGCCGCCGACUCUCAGAAAGCGGCUCUUCGUCUUGGGGUCUCGAGGGGCGCAGCCUGCCCCGAUGUUUUGAAAGGUCCGGGGGCUCGGGUUUGCCUACCCGUGGCCCAUUACUCCGAUAGUAGUCCCCGAAGCUGGUGAGGCGCUUAGGACAACAUGUCGAGGAGCCUCAACAGUUUCAUCCCUCCGGUGGAAGAAUCUGGGCCUUGCUCGCCGUCUUCCUCUAGGCCGACUAGCUGGAGUCAGACUCACAGGAGGCCGUCUUGCUCCUUAAAGGUUUUGAAAGUCGCAGCGGGAACCAGACAGCGUGCCUGAUAAGCUUCCCAGCGGCGGCCCGUUGCAGGCCCGUCGCGUGACACCACGCGGCAGGGUCAGUCUGCCCACCCACGCGCGUGACGAGACAGGCCGUCAGGCGGGACCCGCCACUACCGCGCCUCGGGACGCGAACGGAUCCGUUGCGGUCAUGCGGGCGGUUGGGGUUCCCACGCCGUUAGCGCGCGCAGUAACUUCGUGGGUUAAAUCAUGAGGGGCGUGGGGUACUGGGCGCAGUUAAUCCCACGCCCGCCCCAUCAGCUUCUCAGCCCAUGAGCCUAUAAAUAGGCGGGAGGAGGGGGCGGCGAAGCACGCGCACCCAUCUUCCCGCUUCCCCCGCUUCCUCUCGCUUCUUCUUCUUCUCGCUGCCACCGCGCCGAACCACGCCAUGCCGCGGAGAUGAGCUCUUCCUCCGCCGCUGCGCCUCCCGCCGCGCGCUCCGGCGUGUGGGACGACUCCGAGGUGGACGACGACCACAUCGAGUUCCUCCGCUAGAUGCGCCGCCUCCCCGGCAAGAGCCUAGUGCGGACCCGCACCGCGCCGGCGGGUGAAAUAACGCCGGCACCGGAGGAGGGCGAGCGGGUCGUAUUCCGCUCGCACCUCAUGCGCGGUCUAGGGCUGCCGGCGAGCGGCUUCUUUCGCGCUUUCUUGGAGUUUCACGGGCUCCAGCGCCGCACCACCUCACUCCGAAUACGGUGGUGCUGUUGGCUGCCUUCGCCACCUUGUGCGAGGGCUUCCUCGGCGUUCUCCCCACCAUCAAGCUAUGGGGGGAAUUCUUCCAGUCCAAGCUUGGCACGCACGUCGCCGGCGUGCCGUCUCUGUGCGGCACCUUCAUCGCGAUGCGGAGGCCGGUGGCCGACAACCCUUUCCCCGCCAUUCCGCUGAUCAAGUCGGUGAAGAUGUGGCAACGAUCCUACUUUUAUGUGAAGAACGUCGCUCCAGAAGGCGACUGGGUCAAUCUGGCGCCUUAUGAAGCCGGCAUACUGGCGGGGAGGCUCCCCAGCUGGUCCCACCGGGCCAGGACGCUGACUCCUGCUGGCGGCGCCGCCGUCACGUGACUCCGAGUGCUGACACAGUCGGAGGGUUUGACGGGGGCCGACCUGCUGACCGCCUUCGUGGCGCGCCGAGUCCUCCCGCUCCAAGGCCGACCUCAUAUGAUCUGUCAGAUGAGCGGCCACCGGGACCCCAGUCGGCUGUGCUCGAAGGACAUGCCCCACGCGGAGGUGGUGGACACGGUGAACUUCAUGGCGAACUGCAAUCUUACGGCGGAUUGGCAGUUCGGCAAGGAGCCAUACUCGCGCGCCAACCCCCACCUGUGGUAAGUCGUCUUUUUUCCUCUUCUGUUUUCUUUUUCAGCCGAAUUCGACCUCUGAUCUUUUUUGGUUUUUUCGAGUCAGAACCCCCUCAUGCAGCCCUCAGCCGGCACCACGGGGCCGGCCCGUGAGUUCGUCCCGGACCGGGCGGAGAGCGACGUCGACGACCCUAACUUGGGGGCGGCGGCGAUGGAGGCUGACGUCGAAGGAGGAGGAGGAGGAGGGGCUGACGACUUCAGGCCCUCGGCUACCUUCGCCGACUGGCCUGAGGAUGACGGUGAGGGGGAAGUCGUCUCCCGCCGCCAACCGAAGGUCGGCCAGCCGGGCGCGAGUUCCUCCGCCGGCUUAGGUGGUCGAGGCGGCGCGAAGAAGCGCCGGGCCGGGCCGAGCUUGCCAGGCGGCCGGUUGAAGAAGCUCAAGGGGACGGCCGCCGCAACCAAGCGGGAAGAGGCGGUCGCAAAGGCUAACCGCUUCCGCAAGGAAGUGAAAAAGCCGCCGCUGGUCUCCGCGUAAGUGCUUCUGCUUUGUUUUGUUUUCUUCUGGUAAAUCUUGUUCAAAUCUUUUACACGUCUUCUUCGCAUCAGGGCUCCCCUUACUUUAAAGAGGGUCGCCGCCACCUCCGUCAUGGGGUCGGCAGAGAUGUCCGCCAAUACUCGGCGGAUUGACCCCGCGGCCGACCUCCGGGAGGCGACGGAGUGGAACGCGCAGGAGAAGCGCGACGAGGAAGAAGCCGCCCAGCUGGAGAAAGCGGAGGCUGAGAAGGCGGCGGCUUCCGCCGAGAGGAAGCUGGAGGAGGUCGAAGCUGCCGUCGCAGCCAAGCGGCGGGCCGAGGAGGCCGCGCGCCUCCAAUCGGCGUUGCUUGUCACCCCGCUAAGCUCCGCGCCGCCGCCGCCGGAGUUCACGGGGCAGACGGAGGGAGUCGGCAGCGGGUUCCCCGUCAUGGAGAGGGAAGGCGGCAAGAUCUCCAUGUCGGGCACGGCCGUGCCGCCCCCGCCGCCUCCACCGCUGUCUGAGAGCGCGCGAGGUAAACAGCAGGCGGACCCUCCGGUGCCGCCGACUGAAGACGAGGCCGUGGCGAAGCUGCUCCUUCAAGUCGUCUCGCCAGCGCGCCGCCGUCUUGAGAAGGCGACUUCAGCGCCGCGCCCCUUGGAGACCGGCGCCGCCAGCUCGGCCAUCCCAGACACCGAGGUGACGAGCGCCGCGCCCGUUGGGUGGGUGCGAGGAGGCGGCACAGGCCCGUUGAACCAAGCGCUUCUGGACGUCCAGGCGAAGCUGCGGGCCGAGGGCGACGCCAUCCAGAACUGCACCAAGGCGCACCUGGCGUCGCGAACCGCCUUUCGGGUGUGUUUCUUCUUUGAGUUUUUUCUUGCUCUACUCUGUGGGGGCGCGCCAGCGCACCCACUGGGUGUAGUCCCCGAGUUUCGGGCCGGCUGCUGAGCAGGCGGCUCGAAACUCUAUUUGGCGAGUUCCAAACAUUUACCUUUGUCUGAAAUGCUUAUCACAGGAGUAUCACAACCUCCGCGCCACUGCCUUCAACCGCAGCGUUGAGGAGCUGGGCAAGCGGACUGCCGACUUGUCGAGGAGCCGAGCUGAGUCUUCUUUCUUCUUCACGGGGGCGUGCUGGCGCACCCGCGGGCUGUAGUCCCCGAGAUUCGGGCCGACUGCUGAGCAGUCGUGCCGGAUCUUCCUAGCGACCUUCUUAGUUGACGACUUAACGUCCUUUUCCUUUUUAUUCUUCAGAGGCCAACGCCACUCUCCGACGGCAGCUGGGCAUAGCCAACACGGCCUUGCGUGCCAAAGGGGAGGAGUGCAACAAGCUCGCCGCAGAGCGCGACCUGUUAGCUACGCAGCUGGCGGAGCAAAGGGAGCUGCUUAAGAAGGCGCAGGACGAGGCGGAGAGGAAAGAGGCUGCUCUCCUGGCCGAGUUCGAAAGCGAGCGCUCCUCCUGGACUGACAAGGAGGCACAGCUAACCUCCGGCUUCCAUGAAAUCGAGGACAUCGUCGACGGUGAGUUUCUCUUACUUUCUUUCUUUGAGCCGCUGACUAUAGGUCGGGCUGACUCCUGGUUUUUUGACUUGCUUCUUUUCCGUCUUGGCACACUUCUUCCCUGGCCACACGCAGGCGGCCAAUCAAGCCAUCGAGGCUGAUCGCGAGGCGCGGAGGGCAAAUGGCGCGGAGAUUGCUGCCAACGCCCCCCGGACCCUUGACGAGCAGCUUCUGAGCAUCGAGGCUCGUCUGCGGCUGGCCCAUCGGAUGUUGCGCCGGCUUCAACGCGUCGGCGCCCAGGCGAUUGCUGCCCUAUGGCCACACAUGCCGGUUCUGCGCACUCCCAGUCGGACUGCCGACUAGUUAGAGGUCGCGGCUGGCCGUCUUGAGGCUUGGAAGAGUUCCUCGGCCCGGGCUGGAGUGCGCCGGGCCUUGGAAUUCGUCAAGGCGUGGUAUCCAGGGCUGGAUCUGGACCGGCUGGCUGCGUUCCGGUCAGAGGCCCAGGCGGAGCUGCUGGCUGCGGAAGAUGCCCUCAUCGAGCGUGCGGCGGCGAUCGCUGACUACACGGACACCAGCGUCUUCAUUCUUGAGCGGGCUGAGGACGGCAGGGAGGCGCCGCCGGAGUGGUUCAGGAUGAACCCGGACUAUGACGAGGACUCGGCGGAGGUGAUCGGCUCCAGCGCCGAGGAGGAAGGCGAGGCGGAGGACGAAGAUGAGACGGAGGAGCCAGAAGACGGAGCGGGCGACCAGCCUCAGCUCGACCGCGCCUCCAGCAACGAGCCGCGCCCGUCUGGGCCGGCUGCCGCCGGAGAUGAUCAUGCCGAGACUGCCCAGCCGGCCGCCCCGGCGCCUGACACCGUCGUCUCCUUCGGCCCUCCAAACCCGUCUGCCGCUUCCUAGGCUACCGUCUUGCCUUAAUGUUAUCUGCUUUGAUAGUCUUGGAAAAACUUGUUAAUUCACACAAUUUCACCCGUGGGGUGUAUUUUGAACUUCUGCUCGAAGAUUCGGCCGAGGGCCUAUGCUAUGUAAAUAUUAUCCUAAUUCUAUCUUUCCUUGCUCAUUGCUCUUAUGGCUUUUCCUUUGCCGCCUUCCCUUAGUCGCCGCCUUGCCCAUCGGGCAACCGCUCUGCGGACUGCCGUUUGGAUCAAGUGCUUGGCUACUUUGGGAAUACAAGUACUUGACCAUUUUUAGAGUCUUUUAACAAGUUGGAUAGAAAGCGGCAAGCCGACUACUCAAGAGUUGGUUUUGCGAAGAGGGGCUGGAAGCCAGCUUAAGCUAUGUUUAUGCUUUGGGUCCUUAGCCAUUUUUCAUGUGGGCGCCCAUUCUUCCUUACUCCUGCCCACCAAACAGUCGCUCUGCAAGCUGCGGCUUUUGACAGGAGACGGCUUAGGCACUGCACACUACUUGUCCGACUGCAGGAAGCAUUUCAUAGCGCAAGGCGGCGAGUCCCCGGGCCGACUAGUCGAACCCGGUGCCAGGCGGCAUAACAAAGAGUAACAUACUUGAAGGCAUAAUUCUUAUCAUACAGAUAAGAAAAAAGGGCAGUCCCCGAGCUCGUCUCAGGGGGCCCGAAGUCUUGGUACUUUAACACAAAAGGUAGCGUGGUACAUACUGCAUUAACUGAAAAAUCUUCGGAGAAGAUUUGCAUUCCAUGGCCGUUCCGUCUCUUUGCCGGAGUCAUCUCUCUUGCGUGCUCGGGGCUUCUGAGCGUCGAUCAGGUAGUAGGAGUCAUUGCCCAGCACUUUGCUGAUAAUGAAGGGGCCUUCCCAAGGCGCCGACAGCUUGUGCUGGCCAGCUGUUCGCUGGAUCAGCCGGAGCACAAGGUCGCCCUCUUGGAAAGAUCUCGGCUUGACCUUCCUGUUGUAGUAGCGGCGCAGGCUCUGCUGGUAGAUGCUGGACCGGCUGAGUGCCAACAGCCGACCCUCUUCCAGCAGAUCGACGCCGUCUUGACGUGCUUCUUCUGCUUCCUCCUCGGUGUACAUGGUGACUCACGGGGAGUCGAACUCUAUGUCCGUUGGGAUGACGGCUUCAGCACCGUAGACGAGGAAGAAGGGUGUGAAGCCGGUUGACUUGUUUGGAGUCGUGCGCAAACUCCAGAGGACGGCUGGCAACUCCUCAAGCCAAUGGCCGGCCGAACGCUCAAGCGGUUCGACCAGUCGAGGCUUGAUGCCAGAUAGGAUGAGGCCGUUUGCUCGCUCCACCUGGCCGUUUGACUGCGGAUGGGCAAUGGACGCUAAGUCCAGUCGGAUGCCUUGCGUUGCGCAGAAACGGGCCAGGGCGCCUUUGGCAAAAUUUGUGCCAUUGUCGGUGAUGAUGCUGUGUGGUACGCUAUACCGAGUCGUGAUGUCGGCGAUGAAAGUUACUGCAGUUGGACCAUUCAACUUCUUGAUGGGUUUUACUUCUAUCCACUUGGUGAACUUGUCCACCGCGACAAGUAAGUGAGUUAGGCCGCCUCGUGCUGCUUUGAAUGGUCCCACCAUGUCCAGGCCCCAAACGGCAAAGGGCCAGGCGAUGGGGAUAGUCUUGAGUGCAGAAGUCGGCUGAAACGGCUUGGAGCGGAACAUAUGGCACCCCUUGCAAUUUUGGACUAAUUCCUUGGCCUCUUCUAGGGCAGUUGGCCAGAAGAAACCGUGUCGGAAGGCUUUGGCGACGAGUGCUCUUGAGGCCGCAUGGUGGCCGCACUCGACUUGAUGAAUGUCUUCGAGAAUCGCUUGGCCUUGCUCUGGCUCGAUGCAACGCUGGUAGACACCAGUGACGCUGCGCCUGACAAGCUCUCUGUUGACUAUGGUGUAAGCUGCCGCUCGGCGUUGUACUUGCCGAGCCAAGAUUUCGUCGGUUGGUAGUUCUCCACUUACUAGGAACUUCAGGAUGGGCUGGGCCCAUGAGGGUGCUGCUAUUUCUUCGACUGCCAGUACUGCUACUUGGACGAGGGCGGCUGGGCUGGGAAGCGGCGGGCUGGAGUCCGCGGCCGCUUGCUGGGUUGAUGAAGUCCCCGGGCCGACUUGUGCAGUCCCCGGGCCGAGCUCUGGAGUCUUCGCAAUGGUCGCCGCAGUCCCCGAGCCGGAUUCUGAAGUCCCUGGGCCGGCUUCGACUGCGGCAUUCUUGGAGCCAUCUGCAAGAAUUCUCGUGCCGUCUGCUGAGGCUUUGGAGUCGGAUCCGACUUCUUCAGGGGUAGCCGGCACAAAAAUGGAGUCUGAUUCUGGUGAAGGCUUGACAGAUGGCUUGAGGAGGCGCUGAAGGGCGACGCCGGAUGGUAUUGCCUAGCGGGUGGAGCCAAUUCGUGCCAGGGUGUUUGCUUGGUCGUUGUCAUUUUUUGGUACGUGAAGGAACACGCACCCCUCAAAAUAUCCACUGAGUUGCUGUACCAGGAAACGGUAGCUCGCCAUGUUUGCGUCUUUGGCGUCCCAAUCGCCAGAUGACUGUUGGACCACCAAGUCGGAGUCGCCAUAACACAGGAUCCGGCGAAUGCCAAGUUCUUUGGCAAGCCAGAGCCCGUGAAUGAGCGCCUCGUAUUCGGCGACGUUGUUGGAGGCGGCGAAAUGGAUUUGCAGCGCAUACUUGAGCUUGUCGCCUUUGGGGGGAGUGAGGACAACGCCGGCUCCCAAGCCGGUGCGCAUCUUGGAGCCAUCGAAAUGCAUCCGCCAAUGGGUGGAGUCGGGCGCUGGCGGCAGGUACUGGGUCUUGGCCCAGUCGACGAGGAAGUCGGCUAGUGCUUGCGACUUGAUGGCGGUGCGGGGCUGGUAAUAGAUGGUGUAGGGGGCCAGCUCUAUGGCCCAUUUGGCCACUCGGCCAGAAGAAUCUCGGCUUCCGAUGAUCUUGGCUAGUGGGGCUGUGCAGACCACAGUGAUUGGAUGCUCUUGAAAGUAAGGCUUCAACUUCUUGGCGGCAAAGUGCAUGCCGUAGCACAUCUUCUGGUAGUGGGGGUGGUUCUGCUUGGAGGUAGACAUCACUUCGCUCAGGUAAUAUACCGGUCUCUGGACAGGUAGCGCCUUGCCUUCCUCCUUGCGCUCGACUACGAUGACUAUGCUGACUACCCGCCUGGUGGCGGCAAUGUACAGGAGCAUGGGCUCUUUAGGAGUCGGGGCCGCCAGCACAGGGGGAGUAGUCAGCAUUUUCUUCAACUAGAGAAAAGCUUCAUCCGCCUUGUGGUUGCAUUCGAAGAAGGUGGUCUUCUUCAUGAGCUGGUAUAAAGGGAGAGAUUUCUCGCCCAGCCGACUGAUGAAUCGGCUGAUGGACGCCAAGCAGCCGGUGAACUUUUGCACAUCUAGCAGUCGGCGGGGUACUUCCAUCCUCUCGAUGGCCUUGAUCUUCACAGGAUUGCACUCUAUGCCGCGUUUGGAGACCAGGAAACCAAGGAGCUGGCCGGCUGGUACUCCGAAGACGCACUUCUCAGGGUUGAGCUUGAUCUGGAAUCGGCGCAGGUUCUCAAAGGUCUCCUUAAGGUCUUCCAGCAGUGUUCCUCGCUUUUCCGUCUUCACCACCACAUCAUCCACGUAGACGUGGGCGUUUCUGCCGAGCUGCUUGAGGAGGCACUUCUGCAUGCAACGCUGAAAGGUGGCGCCGGCAUUCCUUAAGCCGAACGUCAUGGUCAGGUAGCAGAAGGCUCCGAACGGCGUGAUGAAGGCGGUCGUCAGUCUGUCAGCCGGGUUUAGCUUGAUCUGGUGAUAUCCUGAAUAUGCAUCUAAGAAGCUCAACAGCUCGCAUCCGGCUGUGGAGUCUAUCACCUGAUCAAUUCUCGGCAGGGCGAACGGGUCCUUGGGGCAAGCUUUGUUGAGGCUUGUGUAGUCAAUACACAUCCGCCACUGCUUGUUCUUCUUCAGUACCAGGACCGGGUUUGCUAACCAUUCUGGAAAGAACACUUCCAUGAUGAAACCGGCUGCUAGAAGCCGGGCUAUCUCUUCUCCAACAACUCUUUUCUUCUCUUCUGACAGACGGCGCAAGGGCUGCCUGACAGGCUUCACAUCAGAUCGGACAUGUAACUUGUGCUCGGCGAAUUCAGUCGGUACACCUGGCAUGUCUUUAGGGGACCAUGCGAAAAUGUCCCGAUUCUCACGGAGGAAAUCGACGAGCUCGCCUUCCUAUUUGCUGUCAAGGUUUGCACCUAUGAGAGCGUACCUCUCCUGGUGCUCCGGGUCCAAGGGUAUCUUCUUUGUUUCUUUGGCCGGCUUGAACGAGCCCUCAGCUUCCGACUCCUUGGGGUUGGGUGAUAUCUCGGGCUGCUUGCUGGCCAUCGCCACAACCCGAUCAAGAAGCCGCUUCUCAGCUGCGAUCACCAGGGACUCGGCUAGCCGGCUGCUUUCAGCCGCGCAAGUGGACGACUUUCUGUAGUCGCCGGCUACGGUCAGGAUCUUCUUGGAACUCGGCAUCUUCAUCUUGAGGUAGGCGUAGUGGGGGACCGCCAUGAACUUGGCCAAAGCAGGUCGGCCAAGCAGAGCGUGGUACGGACUUUCGAGGUCCACCACUUCAAACCAAACUAGCUCUCGGCGAAAAUAAUCUUUGUCCCCAAAGAGGACAUCUAUCAGGAUCUUGCCAAUCGGUGAGCAGGAAAGGCCAGGUACAAUGCCGUGGAACACAGUCCGGCUGCUCUGAAGCUGUCUUUGCUUGAUUCCUAACUUCUCCAUCGUGUCCUUGUACAGGAUAUUAAUGCUACUGCCUCCGUCUAUCAGUACUCGCGAGAAGCGAGCGGCCCGCCUAUCCGUGGCAAGGGUGGCUCCCAAGACCAGGGCGUAGGAGCCCGGAUUCGGCAUCACCUCCGAGUGAUCAGCUCUGCUCCAACAGAUAGGCUUCUCGGACCAGUGCAUGAACUCUGGCGUGUCUGAUGCUACUGCAUUCACUUCUUGCUGCUGCAGCCGCCUGCUGCGUCGGUCGUCCACUACACUAGUGAACACCACAUAAGCUCCAUGCUCUUCUGGGUACUCGUCUUAUACUGCGCCGACUGGCCUGACAGCCGCCUGCUGGGGCGGCGGUGGGGGCGGCGGCCCAACAGGCGGGGGAGGCAGGAGGCCUCUCCCUUGGCGAUACUGGUGAGCCAGUGACACUUCCGGGUGGUGUGGUUUGACGGCUUCGCGCCGCUAUGGAACUUGCAGGGACCAUCUAGAGUCUGCUCGUAAGAGAAGGCCGGCAACCAGUUGGACUUGCCGCCUUUCUAUCGCUUGGCCGGAGGCUGCCCCUCUGGCUGCUGGUCUUCGACCGUCGCAACCUGCCGGCUGCUGGAAGCCCGCUGCGGGGCCUUGCGCUUGUGGCUGUUCUGCUGCUGUCGCCGACUGGUGUCUCCAGCCGGAGUUCUGGGAGCCUGAGGAGCCACCUUGCCAGUCACACUGACUUCAAUCUCCGCCUUCAUGGAGGAGUCGGCUGUAGCGUACUUUUCUGCUAUGAUCAGCAGCUCGUCGAGGGUCUCUGGCUCGUCGCAACGGAGCUUGUGCUUGAGGAGAGUGCCUUCUCUGCACCCGGCGGUGAAGUACUCGAUAGCUUGCACCUCGUGCACGCCCUCGCAGGAGUUCCGAAGCUCGGCCCAGCGCGUGAGGUAGUCGUGAGUUGACUCGUUGGGGCCUUGCACGCACAAGGAAAGCUGGCGAGGCUUGAGAGGUCGCUUGUACGUGCUUGUGAAGUUGCGGACGAAGGCUUUGGUGAAGUCGACCCAGCUGUUGAUGCUGCGGGGCUUCAGGCUGUUCAACCAUGUCCGGGCCGUGCCUUGGAGCAUGAGCGGAACAUACUUUACGGCAACACGCUUGUUGCCGUUCGCUAUGUUGACGGCCGUGGAGUAGUCGACCAGCCAGUCUUCCGGUUUAACGGAGCCGGUGUACUUGGGUGUAUCUCGGGGGAGCGUGAACCCUCUGGGAAAGGGCUCGUCUCGGAUGCGAGGUCCAAAACAGGGCGGACCCAACUCGUCCUGUUCUUCCAGCGCCAGGGAUCGAUGGAGUCGGUCGAUCCGGUGGCGGGCGUCGUUUUCUCCGACUCCCUCUCGGCGGCCAAGGCGGUCGCCGAGAGUCGGAUGCUCGAUGGGUGGCGGGGAGACUCGCCUUUCUUUGUGUGGAGGAGGAGGCCGAUAGUCGUCCCGCCGCUCCACUGCUCUGGGGCGGCCGUCUUGGUCGUGCUCGAUGGAGAUAUGAGUCCGACUGUGGCUGACAGCCGGAUCCUUGUUUUUUCUUCCGCGGACACCGCCAGUCGGCGUCCGAGACGUCGCGCCUUGGUCUCGGCGGGGAGGCGGGUCGUCGUUUUGUCGUUGCGGUGCCUCUGUGCGGCAGCCGGCUUCAUUCUGCGCGGCAACCGCGUCGAGGAGCUGCUGGACUCGCUCCAUCAUCAGGCGGCGCUCUUCACCCUCGAAGUUGUCCAGCUCGUCCGCCGCCGCCUGGGCGGCGCGGAUGUUCUCCGCAGGCGUGGCGUAUACAGGGCGAUUGGCCCCGAACAGGUUGGCGAUGGCCACGCCGCGCUGCUAGACCGCGCCUAGACGGCUAGGCCCAGUUGGGGCCGGCGAGCCGCCCACAGCGUGAUCCAUCUCACACUGGAAGGCUUCUGACAAGCGUCUCAUGCUUGCCAGCUUCUUCGCGCCUUCGACGAGCUGAAGGCGGCGCGCCUCCAGCGUCUCGGCAUCAGCGUCUUCCGGAAUAGGCGCGGUCAGGUCUUGCAGAGCCGCGUCGAGUGGGUCAUGAGCUCCUUCACCGGGAUGCUCGCCAUGACUGAUGACGAGCACCUCUGUGACGGUGUUUCCGCCGCUCUCCGCGCGAGGGAGCGGCUCGUCGUAGACCACCACGUUGGUGGGGAACGCGUCGAGCGACGCGGUGUCGGAGUCGACCAGCAUUGGGUCGGUGGAGCCUACGGACUCCAAGUCCACGACAGGCUCGCCGGCGACGUGGAGUUGGUCAAUGAGGCCCGCGAGGAGGCUCCCGGGGCCGCCCGUGCCUGCGUCGGAUGCAGGCUCGUCGGAGAGGCGAACCUCGCCGACAAGUUCGGCGAGGCAGCUGGCCGCGCAGGCGAUCUCAGCACCGUCCAGCGCGUCGGCGCAGACUCCGUCUGGCGUGCCGGGCUGGCUGCGCUCGCUAGGGAGGAAAAGGGUUCCCGUCCAGAGCAGGUCUCCGGACGACGGUGCACCUAGCCCCAUGGUGGGCGCCAAAUGUCGGUGGUUGGGUGCGACAUAUGCCAAAGGAUGGCUUAUCAUGGUGGGGCCGGGUAAAACGUCGCCGGUGCCUGGAAACGGGAUGAGGCGAAGGCAUGCGCGCCGGCGGAUCUUACCCAGCUUCAAGGCUCUCUGUGGAGAUAAUACCCCUACUGCUGCUCUGCGGGGUCUCCGCAUGAUCACUAUGACAAAGUGGGUACAAGGCUGCUCCUUGAGCUGUUUGAGGUGAGGAAGGAGAAGGGCACGACUAGCUCUUCUCUUCCCUCUAUGUGUGUCUAAAACCAUUAGGGUCCAACCUCUUGCAUGGGUGCCCCGGGGGGUUUAUAUAGGCCUACCCCCCGGGGGCACAAUGGUAAUCCGGCUGGGCGCGGGUCCCAGCCGUCUGUCUCUUAGGUCGCCGUCUUCUCCGCCGACUGCUGGGGCCCGCCGACUAGCGGGCCCCGCCAACGGGCCCAGCACGGGGCCGACAGGCCUUGUCCGUCGCGGGCGGGUCUUGCCGGCAGCGGAUUACUGUAGCCGCGCUUCUGAUGAUGCUGGCUUGGUCGUGGGGUCAUGGCAACAGUGCCGCCGCCUGACGGGCGAUCACUGUCGCCACUCCCUGUCUUGUCUGGUUAAUGGCAUGCGGGACUCGUGGGAGGGGUCGGCCGACUCCUGGGGGCCGACUCCCAACGGGUCCGUCUUGUGGCGCUCUCGCCGUCUUCUGCACCCCCGCCGACAGGCGGGUCCCGCCGUCUCUGGGUCGUUCAGACAGGCCGUCGUGGGCACAAGGGUCUGCCCACAGGGCUGAUGUCAGGGCCGGCGUGGCUACAGUGCCGCGCCGGACGGAGAUCUCCGUCAGUACGGCGCACUGUGGCCAUGCCUGCCCUUCGUGAACGGGGCAGGGAGGGGCCACGCGGUGGCCAUACCCCAUCCCGUUCGUAGUUGUGUAGGCCGGAAGUGGUUGGAGUCGCGGACCGACUCCCCAUAGCCGGCUUCUCUGGAAGUCGCCAGUUGGGAGUCGGCUUAUCUCAAGGCUGUCUCUGGGACUCGGCCGUGAGGGGCAGUCAGCGCCUCUGCCGCCGACUCUCAGAAAGCAGCUCUUCGUCUUGGGGUCUCGAGGGGCGCAGCCUGCCCCGAUGUUUUGAAAGGUCCGGGGGCUCGGGUUUGCCUACCCGUGGCGCAUUACUCCGACACUGACACCCGCCAGGCAGCUGUGUGCGAAGCACGUCGGUCGAACCAGUCUCGCGUAAGCGUACGCGUAAUGUCGGUCCGGCAGCUUCGUCCAACAAUACCGCCGAAUCAAAGUAUGACAUGCUGGUAAGCAGUAUGACUAUUAUCGCCCACAACUCUUUGUGUUCUACUCAUGCAUAUAACAUCUACGCAUAGACCUGGCUCGGAUGCCACUGUUAGGGAACGCAGUAAUUUCAAAAAAUUUCCUACGCACACGCAAGAUCUAUCAUGGUGAUGCAUAGCAACGAGAGGGGAGAGUAUAGUCCACGUACCCUCGUAGACCGUAAGCGGAAGCGUUAUGACAAUGCGGUUGAUGUAGUCGUACGUCUUCACGAUCCGACCGAUCCUAGUACCUAAAGUACGGCACCUCCGCGAUCUACACACGUUCGACUCGGUGACGUCCCACGAACUCUCAAUCCAGCUGAGUGUUGAGGGAGAGCUUCGUCAGCACGACGGCGUGAUGACCGCGAUGAUGAAGCUACCGGCGCAGGGCUUCGCCUAAGCACUGCAACGAUAUGACCGAGGUGGAUUAUGAUGGAGGGGGGCACCGCACACGGCUAAGAGAUCAAUGAUCAACUUGUGUGUCUAUGGGGUGCUCCCCCGUAUAUAAAGGAGUGGAGGAGGGGGGAGGGCCGACCCUCUAUGGCGCGCCCUGGAGGAGUCCUACUCCCACCGGGAGUAGGACCCCCCCUUCCCUAGUUGGACUAGGAGAGAAGGAAGGGGGAGAGAGGAAGGAAGGAAAGGGGGGCGCCGCCCCCCCUUCCUGGUCCAAUUCGGACCAGAGGGGGAGGGGGCACACGGCCUGCCCUGGUUGCCCCUCUCUCUCCACUAAAGCCCAUUAGGGCCCAUAUACUCCGCGGGGGGUUCCAGUAACCCCCCGGUACUCCGAUAUAUGUCCGAACUCACUUGAAACCAUUUCGAUGUCCAAACAUAGUCAUCCAAUAUAUCGAUUUUUAUGUCUCGACCAUUUCGAGAAUCCUCGUCAUGUCCGUGAUCGUAUCCGAGACUUCGAACUACCUUUGGUACAUCAAAUCACAUAAACUCAUAAUACCGAUCGUCACCGAACGUUAAUAAGCGUGCGGACCCUACGGGUUCGAGAACUAUGUAGACAUGACCGAGACUCAUCUCUGGUCCAUAACCAAUAGCGGAACCUGGAUGCUCAUAUUGGUUCCUACAUAUUCUAUGAAGAUCUCUAUCGGUCAAACCGCAUAACAACAUACGUUGUUCCCUUUGUCAUCGGUAUGUUACUUUCCCGAGAUUCGAUCGUCGGUAUCAUCAUACCUAGUUCAAUCUCGUUACCGGCAAGUCUCUUUACUCGUUCCGUAAUGCAUCAUUCCAUAACUAACGCAUUAGUCACAUUGCUUGCAAGGCUUAUAGUGAUGUGCAUCAUCGAGAGGGCCCAGAGAUACCUCUCCGACAAUCGGAGUGACAAAUCCUAAUCUCGAUCUAUGCCAACUCAACAAACACCAUCGGAGAUACCUGUAGAGCAUCUUUAUAGUCACCCAGUUACGUUGUGAUGUUUGAUAGCACACUAAGUGUUCCUCCGGUAUUCGGGAGUUGCAUAAUCUCAUAGUCAUAGGAACAUGUAUAAGUUAUGAAGAAAGCAAUAGCAACAAACUAAAUGAUCAUCGUGCUAAGCUAACGGAUGGGUCAAGUCAAUCACAUCAUUCUCUAAUGAUGUGAUCCCGUUUAUCAAAUGACAACUCUUUGUCCAUGGCUAGGAAACUUAACCAUCUUUGAUAGACGAGCUAGUCAAGUAGAGGCAUACUAGUGACACUCUGUUUGUCUAUAUAUUCACACAUGUACUAAGUUUCCGGUUAAUACAAUACUAGCAUGAAUAAUAAACAUUUAUCAUGAUAUAAUAAAAUAUAAAUAACAACUUUAUUAUUGCCUCUAGGGCAUAUUUCCUUUAGACCAAACGACCAAUAAUGCCCAGAAGUAUUGAUCUGAAGGUUGGAAACACUAAUAGCCUGAGAGAGUUCCAAUAGUGUGCAUAGAUGGAUUAUAAGUUGAUCAAACAAACAAUAAUGCCCAGAAGUAUUGAUUUUUUNNNNNNNNNNNNNNNNNNNNNNNNNNNNNNNNNNNNNNNNNNNNNNNNNNNNNNNNNNNNNNNNNNNNNNNNNNNNNNNNNNNNNNNNNNNNNNNNNNNNNNNNNNNNNNNNNNNNNNNNNNNNNNNNNNNNNNNNNNNNNNNNNNNNNNNNNNNNNNNNNNNNNNNNNNNNNNNNNNNNNNNNNNNNNUCAAAACCCCAGCCAUAGCCGAGGUGAAAGUUUUGCAGGGUUACGGCAAGCCGCGAGGAGAGGUACGCCAGCCAAGACCUAGCCGACACCUUAUCUACCGGUACAUGGAACCGGUUAGUCCAAAGUUCGAAAUCAUUACAAAUGUUUGCGAUGGUAAGAAUCGUAGAGUGAUCUUCAUUCCUGAAUACCGCCGCGUUCCUAGAAUCCCAGAUUUUCCAUAAUAUAGCAAGCAACACUUCCGGCCAAAUAGAGGAGUCGAGGCCAGGGGGUAGCGUAGCAAGCCAAAUGUCCUGCAGCCUGUCAGUCGGAGAUAUUCCUAGCUGCAACCAGACGAGUUUUGCUGUGGUGCAUCGGAGGAAGAGGUGAUUUGUAUCUUCAGAGCUGGCAGGGCACCUGGGGCACUUUGCGUCUGGGCCAAUGUGCUUAUGAAACAGGUUUGCUUUAGUGUUUAGGCGGCCAUGGAAAAGCAGCCAAGCAAAGAGCUUCAGCUUAGGGUGAGCCUUGGAGCGCCAAAUUAAAGGAGCAUGAGCGAUCUCAUGAUCCUCCUGAGUGAGUAGUUUGUAGGCAGCUUUGGAGGAAAAAGCUGUGCCGUGGAUGAGGUGCCUCUCGUCGGGGCUUGUUUUGGAGAUCGUAGGGUGACAGCUGCGUUAGAUGAAGCGUGAGCUAUGAUUAGCGUAUCAUCCGCGUAUUGCAGGACGGCAGGGGGGAGAUCAGGGUAGAUAGGGUGGCGUAGGUCAGGAGAGGAGGAGGCCGUUUUUAGUAUGAGUUGCUGGAGAACAUCGGCAACAAUGAGGAAGAGAUAUGGAGACAUUGGGUCACCUUGGCGCAGGCCAUUCUUGCAGUUGAUCCAGUCUCCCAGCACACCGUUUAGCAUUACAGCAGUUUUUCCAGUGGUGAGUAGAUCGUUUAUCCAGGAGCAGAAACGUGUGGGAAAACCCCUAUGUUGCAGAAUUAGUAGGAGGGCGUGCCAGGACACAGAGUCGAAGGCUUUCCUGAAGUCUAAUUUCAGCACCAUCGCUGGGUUUUUCCGUUUGUGGCAUGUGUUUACGAGAUCGGCGGCGUACAUGAAGUUCUUCACAAUGCAUCCCUGAGAUGAAGCCAGUCUGAUCGCCGUGGACGAGAAGUAUUGAUUUGAAGGUUGGAAACACUAAUAGUAGAGAGGGCUCUAAUAAUGUGCAGUUAUAAUAUCUUUAAAUUGCUAAUUACCUAAUACCGGUUUAAUGUUUACUUGAUCAUUAAGGGCUCCAGGCUCCUACUCGCCCCCUUGGCUUCGCCACUAUCAAUGUUGUGAUAGAGGUAUUCAUGUGUUGUUCCCUUUUUGGAUGCCUUGUCAUUGAAACACUUCUUUCACAAUCGGGGGUGUUGUCUUACAAUUUCAUUCUUGAGUUUGCUUGGACAGGACUUUCGGAGGUCAUGUGUUUUUUCUUUCCUUAUUGGUGUGCGUUAAUGUUGGCUAUGCAUAUUUUAGUCGUGCAGAGACCUGGUGUGCAAUACUUGUAUUUUCGUGAUGCGUGGUGCGAUUUAUAAAUUAAAUAAAAUCCAACCCUUUAUGGAAAAGAACGAAAAUUGCAGGCCAUUCAAGCAUUCAGCCCAAGGUAGGGACUAACGUCAAAGAAAAAAACAGGGCCCAACAUAAGGAGUAGGCCAUCCCCAUCGCCUGGUUCUCUCCUCAAGCCCAUUUUGGGAAUACCACCAGCGCUCAGCGAGUCGCCCACCGAUUCGCCGUUUCCACAGCUGCCGCAACCCUCCGGCGGCGGCGCUGCGCGGCGGCGCUGGCAUCCGGCGUGGCGUCGUGCCUCCGAUCCGCGCCCAUCGGCGAACGGCUUGGCGACAGGCCGCAGCAGCCGAGCGGCGUGGCCUUCGUUGAUUAUUGAAGAAGGAACACUCCGCCGUAAGUUAUUUUGGCUUCCUAGAUGAGAUUUGUUCGCGGUGAAUUCAAGAUUUAUUGAAGAAGCAACAUCAUGAAUUCAUGCGUCCUGCAGCGCUAAGUUCUUUGGGCUAUCAGACUGCCCAGUGAGGAUUGAUGAGAUUGUUCUGGUUAAUCUUAAUUCUGUUCACAUGCUUUUUUCAGAUUCAGUUGAUUAACUGAAUCCAGUUUAGUUCCCUGCUAUUUACAUUGCCUUUUCUUAUUAUUCUCUAGCUCCUACAGUACUAAUCUUAUAUGUUUAAUCUUUUCCAUGGGUAGUGUUGUACUCUCCCUGUCCUGUAAUAUAAGAUGUUAUCACAUUCAAUAUGUGAGUACUAGGAAAAAUACCUUUUGCAUCGCGACAGGUGAAAAAACUCUCAUAUGCCUCUAGCCCGUAAUACAUAAAGGAUGAAGUAUUUGGUGGUUAGUUAAGACCUGACAUGUAAAGAUAAAGAAGCAAACGAAGUAAGCAGAGAAACAUAUCAAUUAUUUGAGAUUCACUUUGGCACGGAGCCUGGUACGUCGCGAAUUGUAUGCUCCCCGCUUAAUUGGCCAAAGUGGCCGAUUUAGUUUAAACAUCUCCUGGUACCGUAGGUGUAGAGCCCCACCCGAUUUAUUAUUCGGUAGAGAGGCCGCGUUCCAUUCCAUUACAUAUUUCUCUUGCGUUCCUUCCGUAUUUCUCUUUCCAGUCGCACGGGAAUCCACUCUCGCCACAAAUUUAUUCUGUGGAAAGGCCAGGUUCCAUUCCUUAUUUCGCUUUCACAUUACUAAUUGAUGAUUGACCACUGCUCAUUGAGGGGAACUUGUCGCUGCUCUGGUAAGGGAUAGAUCCAAAUACUGCUGACGGAGGGUCAGGGCCGGAGGGGGCUGCUGGUGGAGGGGACACCACCUGCAGAUGCUGAUUUGGGAGGGGCGGCGGCUCCUCCAGGAGCGCGAGGGAGCAACUGAUCGAGCAGGAGGGAGGAGUGGCCUAAACCUAAUGUUGUGGCAGCUAUGAAAACUGAAAAGUAGGGUGGUAAAGGGAGGAACGGGUCAGAUUUAGGCCAAAAUAUGCCGCCCAGUUAAUCUACCCAGCUGAUAAUUUGGUCUGACAGAACGAUUAACUGGGCCUCUGAGUUAAUGGGCCNNNNNNNNNNNNNNNNNNNNNNNNNNNNNNNNNNNNNNNNNNNNNNNNNNNNNNNNNNNNNNNNNNNNNNNNNNNNNNNNNNNNNNNNNNNNNNNNNNNNNNNNNNNNNNNNNNNNNNNNNNNNNNNNNNNNNNNNNNNNNNNNNNNNNNNNNNNNNNNNNNNNNNNNNNNNNNNNNNNNNNNNNNNNNNNNNNNNNNNNNNNNNNNNNNNNNNNNNNNNNNNNNNNNNNNNNNNNNNNNNNNNNNNNNNNNNNNNNNNNNNNNAACUGCUCAUAUCAUUAGUUAAUCAGCCGAUAUUUGUAACAAUGGUUGAUUUAUCAUAACACGCUGGAUAAUUUAUUGGAUGGGAGGCCCAUGAGCGGUUGCGUGCGUGGGCCGGUCCAGGCCAUGGAAGCCCCAGUGCGUGUGAAGGACGCGGGUAGCAAUGGAAACAUAGCCUGACUUAAUAUGAUCUAUUAAACAUUGUUCUUUCACAUAACAUGGGCUGGUUGAGUUGGCUAACCGGUCAAGUUGUGCUCUUUUUCUGCCAACCUAAGUUUGAGUCCGUGCGGCAAGCACGAACCAUUCAUUUAUUUUUUUGACGAAGCGUUCUUUUACUGCGGGUAGAUUGUACUAAAAGUUGUUCCAUUCCAUUCCAUAUUUCUCGCUGUUCCUUCCGUAUUUCUCUUUUCAGUCGCACUGGAAUUCACUCUUACCAUUUAUUCUGUAGAGAGGCCAGGUUCCAUUCCUUAUUUCUCUUUCACAUGGCUAAUUGAUGAUUGACCACCGGAUUUAUUCACCACUGAUUUAUUCUGUCGAUAGGCAAGAAACCCUUUGCUAAUUGAUUCCGGAAACAACUUUCUGUUACCCACAAAACUUAAAGGCAUAUAUAAAUUGGAAGGAUUCGAUGCAAGGGGCCAAGGUGGGACUAACUUUUUGUUGAUUUAUCAUAACACGUUGGCUGAUUUAUCAGAUAGAAGGCCCAUGAGCGGUUGCGUGCGUGUGCUGGUCCAGGCCAUGCAAGCCUCCGUGCGUGUGUGGCCGUAGGAAGAAAUGGAAAUGUAACCCGGCUUAAUAUGAUCUACUCCCUCCGUCCCAUAAUGUAAGACGUUUUUUUGACACAAACGUCUUACAUUAUGGGACGGAGGGAGUAUUAAGCAUUGUUUUCUUCACGUAGCAUGGGCUGGUUGAGUUGGUUAAUCAGCCAAGUCGUGCUGUUUUCCUGCCAACCCGAGUUCGAGUCCAUGCGGAGGCACAAACUGUUCUUUUAUGUUUUUGACGAACCAUUUUUUUUACUGCAGGUAGAUUGUACAAAAGUCGUUCCAUUCCAUUCCAUAUUUCUCUUUCCAGUAGCACUGGAAUUCACUCUCGCCACUAAUUUAUUUUGUGGAGAGGCCAGUUUCCAUUCCUUAUUUCUCUUUCACAUGGAUAAUUGAUGAUUGAACACCAGAUUUAUUCUGUGGAUAGGCAAGAAACGUUCCUUCCUUAUUUCUGGAAUCAUUCCUCACCCUUCCCUAAUUAAUUCCGGAGAGAGCUUCCUGUUACCCACAAAACUUAAAGGCGUAUAUAAAUUGUAAAGUAUUCGAUGCAAGGGGCCAAGGUGAGACUAAAUUUGUGUUGAUUUAUCAUAACAUGUUGGCUGAUUUAUCGGAUGGAAGGCCCAUGAGUGGUUGCGUGCGUGGGCCGGUCCAGGCCAUGCAAGCCCCCGUGCGUGUGAAGGACGCAUGAAGCAAUGGAAACAUAGUCCGGCUUAAUAUAAUCUAUUAAACAUUGUUUUUUUCACGUAACAUGGGCUGCUUGAGUUGGCUAAUCGGUCAAGUUGUGCUCCUUUUCUGUCAACCAGAGUUCGAGUCCGUGGGCAGGCAUGAACCGUUCAUUUUUUUUUGCCGAACCGUUUUUUUACUGCCGGUAGAUUGUACUAAAAGUCAAGGGUGUUACUGUAAAAUGUCGCGACGGACCAAGAAUACCUAUUCCCUUUAUUAGUAGAGAAAAGUAGAAAAUAAAUAUGUAUAGAUAAAGGAUGUAAUAACAUCUUAUAUUAUGGAAUGGAGGGAGUACUUAGUAUGACCACACAUAAUCAUGACUUUAUAGUUAAUGUUUAAACUAAAAUGACAAAACUGCUAAAUCCACACUUUCAGCUUGGAGCAUGAUGGAUUGAUGGCAAAUGUAUAUUCAACAAAAGAAACCCCUUUCCAACUUGCAGCAUGGGAAAUGGUUGCUAUUCAAGAUCACAAAUUAGGGUAUUGUAACGCAUGUCAAAUGAUAAUCAAGCUUUUGAGCUUACCAAUGCAGUAGUCAAGUUCAGUUCUGUUUAUAGAAACAUACCGGACUUGCUUCCUAAACUGCCAUCUCUCGGUUGUUCCUUUUUUUUUCUAUGAACAGCAUGUGUUGUAUUUUUAGUGAUAUGUGGUAGACUGCACGCUAAUAUAGGCUCCCUGUAUUCUGGAAAUGUUAGGACAGCUUAAUCCGGAUUCUGAAGCAAUGAGUACCUGUAAAAAGGCCAGGGUGGAGUCUACAUCUGUUGUGAGUUCAGACAGACUGAGCAGUCUACCUCCAGAGAUAAAGGGCGACAUCCUCUCCCGUCUGAAUGUCGAAGAAGCGGUUAGGACUAGCACCUUAUCAAGUACUUGGAGGGAUGCAUGGACUAAUAUGCCAAAAAUAUUUCUGCGCGAUGGAAAUUUUGCAAGAACCAAGUUCGUCACAUUAGUCGAUAUGGUGCUAUCACUCCACAAGGGAACUGUAGAGAAGUUUGAUAUUUCAGGCAGCAAACCUUACCAUGACGAGUUUGGCAGGUGGAUGCUCAUGCUUUCUAGGAGAUCACCAAGAUCAAUUAUAAUCGAAUUGAAAUCAGGGCCAGGUUAUAGGAUUCCCUCAUGUCUAUUUUCUAUCGGUGAUUUGGAGAAUCUGCACCUGCAAAACUGCAUCAUCAGCUUGCCCCGGGUAUUCCAAGGUUUCAAGAGAUUAACUCGCCUCAGACUGCACAAUUUCUCAUCUACAGACAUGGACAUCCAAAAUUUGGUCUCGUUCUGCCCCGCACUGCGUUCUUUGAGACUAACUUAUUUUGAGGGCAUUAACCAUCUAACCGUUCAAGCUCCUAAACUGAAACUUCUUUAUGUCAUUGGGGACGUUGAAAUUAAUUUGGAUGCACCUAAUUUGGAGGUGGCUCUCUUAAUGCAUCACAAAGCUAUAGCACCUCAUUCUGAUCCAAUUGCGCUUCACAAGGAAAGCUAUGUCAAGCAGUUAUUGGGAAGCCUAAGUGACAUCAAAAGCUUUGCAAUUAGUGGCUUUUUGCUGAGGGUGAGCUAUUAUUAUCUCCAGCAUUACUAUGGCCUUCUUUUGUCUCCUGACUAAUCUGUAUUGACAUUUCCUUAUUCUUUUUCUGUUCAUGUUGUAGUAUUUAUCAAAAGGUUGCAUACUUACGAAGCUCCCUGCCCUGUUUUCUCGCCUGGAGAAUAUUUAUCUUGCAAUAUGCUUUUUGGACCAGCGGCAAUUCUUGGCAGCUUGUUCAUUGUUUCAGAAUGCCCCUAACUUAAAGAGGCUUGAUGUUGUUCCAGUAAGUCCUCUCCCUUCCUCAGUCAUCCAAUCCAUUUUCAUUCUUGUAUUUAUGGCACCUAAUUAAUGAGUUGUGAAAAAAAGAUGCAGAGUCACUCUUCGAACACAUGGGAUCAGGAUCAGGCGAGGAUUAAAGAGUUUACCGUGCAAGUGCAAUUGGAUCAUCUUGUAACGGCCAGUGUGCAAGGUUUCAGGGGUCUGGACUGCGAAGUCGAUUUCGUGGCAAAGCUACUGAGCUGGGCACCAGCUCUGGAAGAACUGAAGAUAGAAUGGAAGGGCAAAACAGAGUGCAGCAUGGUUCUUGCCAAGCUAUUAGCUCUCCGAGGGUGUCUCCCAGGGCCAAGGUCAUUGUUACAUUUUGAUAAGAAUGCAUCCCUACAGUCUAGAGAGCAUCCCCCAUCACUUUGCCGGUUUAAUUUGCAGCCAAGCAGGAUUAUUUCAGCUUUCUUUAUGCCAAGACUAGAUGGUGGUUAUAUAUGUGUGCAUUAACGCAAAUCAUCAGGCAGAGGGAGUACUUCAUGUGUUAUUAGCAAGGUUAUCCUUUGUUGAGCCGGGGACACAAGCCGCUGUUGCCGUGUCAGUUCAGCUCGUUCCGUUGUCCUGUGUAUCGUAAAUUCCUGAUUCUAAAAAAUAUAAGAAGUAAUGAAAUAUAUAAUGACACCUUCAUCUUGUAUGGACAAGAAUGAAGAUGUGAAUCAAAUGCAUGUAAUUGUACCUUCUGCAUUUGUCGACAUAUGCAGCCUGAAUCAGUGUACUUUUUGGAAAUCAAAGCAUUUAUCAGACUAGUUUCAGAUUGGAAUGCAUGUUCA